GUUUGAUAGAGUUGAUCAAAAAACAUUAAAAUUAGAGAUAGGAUAUAUCAAUUUUUAAUAGUGAUCUUAUUAAGUCCUCAAUAGUCUAUUCAUAUUUGUAGAUAUCCAUCUUUUUUCUUUACAAAUAAGAUAAGACUUCUUACUAGAAAUUUAGAAUGACAUAUAAAAUUUUUAGCCAAGUUUUCAUCAAUUUAUUAUUUUAGUACAACCAAUUUAUUUUGCAAUAAGUUUUAGAUUGAUUCAAAGAAUAUGUGCAUUCUUCUUAUUUAAUAACAUCCUAAAAUCUUGACACUGGCUAGGAAUAUUACUUGAUAUCUUUCCACCAUCAAAAAUAGACAUGGAAUAUAUAGCAAAAGCUGAUUUAUUUUUGUGGCAUACAUGAAAGCUUUUGUAUAUGUCAGUAAGGAUUUGGAUACAUUAGAUUUAUAUAUUUCUACUUAAUUAAUAGGAUUUUGGAUUAAACUACCGAAAAAAUUAAGAUUAUAAUUUAUUUGAGGCUUAUAUAUAUUUUUAAUCAUAAUAAUCCUAAAAUAACCAAAUUAAAAAGAGAUCUUAUCAUAUUAAAUAUUACUAUGCUAUUUUAAUCUUUAAUUGCUACCUUUAAAGGAACAAUCUCAUAGAUAAUAUCUCUAGAAGAUUGCAAAUGAUCAUCUAUGACUUUUAUAUAUACAAGCUUAGUUUUCUUGACUAAAUGUAUUUUUUACUUUUUGACAAAGUCUUUGUCUAUAAAACAAGCUAAGACUCGUAAAUCUAAUAAUAUAAAGACUUUUUAAUUUUUAGAUCUUAAACAUAUAUUUAUUAUAAAAUAAGGUGAGGGAUCUGAGGAGAGAAUAGAACCUUUACUAGUUUUUGUAUAUGAUUCUAGUUUUAAGGUUCUCAUUGUAACUAGAAAAACAUAUUUUUUGAUACAUUGUCUUUUUUGGCAAUUGUAUUCUAUAUUUUGUAAUUGCAUUGCUUUUUUGGAAAAUAUUGAACAAUGUACUUAGCUUUUCCAUAAUAUAAGCAUAAACCUUUUUUAUAAUGUUGAGUCAUUUUUACUCUAUGGAAGAUUUAUCAUAUCAAUUUUUAUUAAUUUUUAUCUAAAUAAAUAAGGUUCUCAAAACUUGAGAAGUAAUGUCAUUACUUGAUUUAUUCCUUUCCAACCAAGACUAUGUUCUUGAUGCCUUUUACAUAAUUAAUUGUUGUAUGCAAUAACUUAAGCAAUAAAUUAUUUAAAAGAUUUUUUUUUUUGAUAUUGUUAAUAACAAAUCUUCAAUCUAUAUCAAAAUUGAUUCAUGAAGACUUUGUCAUUUCAAUCCAUAUUGCAAACAAGAUUUUGAAAUUUAGUAGCAUAUAUAGUGGUUAAUUGUAAUCCUUAUUAUAAAGAUAACAGCUUAAUCUUUCUUACUAUUUUUUGAUUACUUUCUCCAAAUGUGGUUAUAACCACUUUUAGAAAUAAAUUCAAAUCAUAAAGAAGUAAUGAAUCCUUUUCUAUCAAAGAUACAAAUAAAAAGAAAGUACUUCUAGAUAGAAGUGCGCUUAUAAAACCAAAUCAAGUAAAUCUAUUAGAAUAUUGAAAGAAAUGCAAUCUUAGAUAGAGCUCGACUUGUUGCACAAAUCUUCAAAUUUUUUAAUUUGUUCUAUCAAACUUUUUAGGCAUACUAAUCUUUGUUUCCAUUAUAUUUGUAAAAGCAAAACUUCUUAGAUUUGGUUGUGAGGUCUAUCUACUUGCUUCUUUCAAUUACACAACUUCUUAUUGUAGAUUCUAAACUUCUUUUAUUGGCAUAGGAUUAGUAUUUUCCUAGUUGACGUUACUGACACAUGAAAUUUCUACCCUAAGAGUAUUUGAUAAGUUUGUAAGAUUUGCAAUAGUUGUAAAUCUAUUCUCAUUUUUGCCAAAUAUAAUAUAUAUUAUUUUUUCUUCUAUUUUAAAUAAUUUAAUAAAUCUAUAAGUCAAAUUAGAGGAAAAAAAUCCACACCCUCUAAUAUCAAAUAAAAAUUUCUACAAAGAUGGAUAAUCUACUUUCUUUAAAAAAAAAUUAGUGAUAGAUUUUUUUUUUUUUUUUUUUUUUUUUUUUUUUUUUUUUUUUUUAAAGUAGAUAAUCCACUACCUUCAAAAUAUAAUAAUAGAAGUGAAAUAAUCCACUAACUUCUAAAAAAAAUAAAAAAAAUAAAUUAGCAUUUUUGUCAAAUUGUCAAAGAUAUGAGUCUCAAAAAAUAAUAAUUCAAUAUACUCUUGUCUCACUUAAAAAGACUAAAAAAGAUCGUAAUAUAUUGAACUAAAAUAGCUAUUAUCAAAGAUAAGAAGAUUAGAAAGUCUUAAAAUAAGAGUAAAGAAUAAAAAGGCAUUGAUAAGAAUAAAAAAAGCUUCAUUUUUGCCUCCAUAUAUACUUUCUAAUUAAGAGUUACAUGACAAUGUUCUAUAGGAUCUCCAAUACGUAUUGUCUUUAUUAGACAAAUGAUUUAACUUAUAAGGCAAGUUUUCUAUAUGUGCGCUACAUAAUUAGUUUGUUCAAUAAGCUAGUAAUACAUGUAUUACGUGGCUAAUUUAUUGAUUAAGUUUUUAGCCUAUUUAUUAAUUAUAAAAAUAUAUAAAAUCAAAAUAACAUCUAUAAAGCUUUUAUGAAGCUUUUUUAGAAGAUAUUAUAAAAUUAAUCUAAUUUUAUCUACUUCUACUUAAUCAUAUAGGUAAUUAUUAGAAUAAAUAUUUAUGUCCAUAAUAUUAACUCAAAAUUAUUUUAUCCAAGUAAAAAGUUAUAAGUCAAAUACAACCAAACUAUUAUUGGUAGCUAUAAGAAUUUUUAUAUAUGUUAUAAUGUUUGAACUAUCUUGUCUAAUAUUUGAAAUUAUUUUAUUUUUAGUUUCUAUAAUAAUUAUCUAAUAUUUUUAUUAUUAUAAAUUUUCUAUAUUAGAUAAUUAAUCUUAAUUAUAUUAUUUUUUUUCAAAUAUAAUUCAAGCAAAGCGUGAAUAUUUCGAAAUGAAUGAUUAAGCUUUGAAUGAAUACUAUGACUUUUAUUUGCUUACUAUUCUAUAAAAAAAUUCAUUUUAUAUUAAUAGUGCCACUUAAGCAUUGUUAUAAUGAUGGUGGUUGCAAAUAUUGAUUUUUGACAUCAAGGUUGCUAAAGAGCAAUAUUCCACUCUCUAUUUUCACCUUCAUACUUUUCACAAUGCCACUUGAGCUCCUUUCUUCUUACCUCAAUGGCCUAUACUUUGUUGUCAUGUUGUAAUAUGACUAUAUAGUGAAAGAAGAAAGAAAAGAUUAUAUUAUAGAAGAGAUUAAAUGAAAAUACUUCAAAAAAUAUUUUAAAAAUAUAGAUAAUAGAUAAAAAGAUAAUAAAAAUUAAUAUAUGUUAAAAUUAUUUUCUUGAAGAAGAGACUUCUAGUUACUUUGAAGAGGCAUAAGUUAAUCAAAUCAAAGUAAAUUAAAUAAAUAAUUGAUAUAAUUAUUUUUAGAAAAAAAUUUGUAAGUCAUUAAAUUAACUGGUUAGUUGUUUUAGAACAAAAAGAUAUAUUUAGAAUAUCAAAUUAUAAUUAUUAGGUGAAUUUUAAGUUAUAAGAUUUUAGAUGAAUAAAAAUUAGGAUUAGUACAAGAAAUUGGAAAAUAUAGUAAUUUAAAUAAUAUGUGAGCCCUAAAGGCUUAAAAUUAAAUUUCUUUUCAUAGAAGAAAAUCUAAAUUGGUACUAAAUUUUAGUUUUUGGUUAUUUUAAUUAGUUCCAUUAAUUCUUUUUCUUCUUUCUUCUUCUAUUGGAUAGGUUCAAGCUUGUAUUUUCAAAAGAAAAUACUAACUUUUAGAAUUUUCUUAAAUUCUUAGAAUUACUAGAAUCUCCAAAAAUUAGUAGAAUUAUAAUUUUUUUAAAUCUAUGAUUUUUUUUAAAAAUUCAAGUUUAAUUUGGUAGUAUAACUUCUAUAAGUUCUUUGAUAAAAUUAUAAUACUAUGUGAUGACUAACUUCUAGCAUUAAAAUAAUGAAUUAGCUUUACAUCAUAAUUCUUUAAAAUUACAUAAAUAUUAUAUUUUUUUAUAGAUUUUGAUAAGAAAAGGAGAAAUCUUGGAAUAAAAAUAUAUUUUAAAUACAAUAGUGGUAUUAAUUUUAUUAAAAAAAUAUUUAUUGGAUAGCUAUAAAGGCUUUUAGCCUUAAAAUCGGAUUUAAAUUUGAAAGGUCUUAAAAACCAUUGAUCUUCAUUAAGUUCAUGGGAUCUCAAUAGUAGAAAUUUAAUUACCAUCUUAAGGCUUAAAAUACUUAUAUAUAAGGAUUAGGUGGCUAUGCCCUCUCUUUCUUUUUCUCUUCUUUUUGUUGAUGGGUAAAGCUAUGGUAAUUAUUUCAUAGAUUUGGUAAGUAAUUGAUUAUUCCAGUUUGUCUCUUUUAGUUUUUAAAAUAAGUUUUUGAAAUUUUAGGUAGAAGUAUUAUUUUUUUUGUAAUUCUCUAGACAUAAUAAUCUUAGAAUUUGGAAUUUAUAAAAAGAAGAAACCUCUAAUUUGAUAAAAGAUAGUAUUCUAUCUUCAUAGUUUAGUAGCUCUAUUUUAAAAAUCUCUUUUUUAUUACUUACAACUUAUUAAGUCACAAGAAUCAAACUCCCAAAAAUUUAAUGAAGUUUAGAUUCCAAAAAGUUAAGAAUCAGUCAUAUCGGAAUCAAGGCAUAGUAGAAGUAUUGAUUUUUGUAAAAAAGAGGUUUACUACCUUUGAAUUCAAGUGGCUAAGUGAAGACAUGACUUUAGAGGAUAAGAUUAAGAGGAUUGAAGUAGAACAAGGGCUCAAAUUUUGAAAAAAGAUACUAUAUGAAGUUAAAAAUUUAUUAAGCUUAGAUUUACUAAAAGAAAAUCAAGAACGAAGAUAUAACACUCAAUUUUAUAGAAAGGAAUCUACUACCUUGUUGAAUUAUAGUAUCAACUUUAAGGAGCAAUAUUAGAGCCACUUAAUCAAAUUUGAAAGAAAAACUUAAAAGAUUGAUGCGCCUUGAAGGCUUCUUUUUAAUAAGACUAAUAAGUUUCAAUUCAAAGCUUACAAUCAACCAUGGUAUAUUAAAUUGUGAAGGUGGAUGUAACAAUAGGUUUAGAAUAACAACCAUCUUUAGUUUUUAUUUUGCCAAUUUGUAAUUAUUUUUUUUUAUAAUUUAUUUAAAAAAUUUGGUAUUAAUCAAACAACUAAAUUGACAAUUAUGAGAGUUUUUGUGAGUUGUAGUCUUGAAUAAUUAAAAUUUAGGAUCAAUGAGGGUUUUUGCAAUUUCACAACAUCUCUCAAUUUAACUAAAGCACAAAUUAAUAAAAGAAAUUAAGACUUAGAAAUCUAUACACCAACCAAUUUUAUGGUUCAAUGAAGAAACAAUGCUAUUGAAAGAUCAACAUUCAAGUUGAAGAAAGAGGGCAGCUAACAUCUGAGGGGUUUUGGAAGCUUUUCUUUCAAUUUGAGUCCCAAUAGAAGAGUUUGGCUCACAUGCACUAUUAUAUUGAUCAUGUUUGGUAGUGUUAAAGACAAUUUUUAAUAGCUUACUAUGACUUAACAAUUCAUUACUUAUUCCUCCUAUACUAUUGAUUUCAACUUAUGAUCAUUAUAUACAUUGGAUUAAGAUCAUAUAAAAAAAUUAAAUAAUUAUGUAUUAAAUAAAUAAAAUAAUAGAGUUUUUAAAGCCAUAUUUCAAAUUACUAUCUCAUGAUUGAUUUUGUCCGUUCUUUGUAUUGAUCCCUGUUUUUAUGUCACUUAUUCCUUAUUUCUAACCUCCGUCUUUUGUUUCCUAUUUUCGUCCUUUGUUCUUUGUUUCCUAAAAUAAAUCAUCAUAUGCUUUGGAAGGUGUAGCUUUAACAAUAUUGGAGUGUGGCUUUGAUAAAUCUCUAAGAUAGUUAUGCAUUCAAUAAGUAAAAUAAAUAAAAAAUGAUAUUAUUCAUUCAAAAAAUUUAAUAUUAAAAUCAAAUUUCAACUUAAUAUUAAUAAUAAAAUAAAAUAAAAAUUAAAAUAAUAUUUUUAAUAAUAUUAAAAAAAUCAUUCAAAUUAAUAUUAAAAUUAGGAUUAAUAAUAAAAUUUAUAAAUAAAUUAAAAGUAUAUUUUUAAUAGUAUUAAAAAAAUUUUAAAAAUUAAAUAUUAAUAUGUAUUUUUUAAUAAUAUUCAAAAAUAUUUAUUCAAAUUAAUUUUAAAAUAAAAAUUAAUAAAAAAUUUAAAAUAAUAUUUUUAAAAAUAUUAAAAAUAUUAAAAUUUUAAAUUUAAACCUAAAAUAAAUAAUAAUAUUAAAAAAUAAAAUAAUAUUAAAAAAAUAAAAUAAUAUUUAUAAUAAUAAAAAAAUUAAAUCACAUUUGUUUUAUAAUAAAAACUCAUUUUUUGAAUACAAAUUAACCAAGUGGCAUACAUAUUGAAAACUUGCCUUAUAAAUUAAGAUACAUGUCUUGAAAAUUAAACACAUAUUAGAGGUUUUAUAGAAGGUCACUAUGUAGCUCUUAAUUACAUAGUAUAUAUAGAGGCAAGAAUAAAGUCUUCUUCACUCUUGUCAAUUCUUUACUUCUAGUCUAGUUUCAAAGGCCUCUAAUUUUUUUAUCUUUUAGUAAUAGAAAUUUUAGUUUUAGUUUUAGUUUUUUUUUUUUUUUUUUUUUGAAUAUUUAUAUUUAUUUAUUUUUAUUUUUUUAUCUUUCUUUAUAAAAAGUUUUAUUUUUUUAAUUUGCCUUCAUUAGGUUUUUGUAUUUGAUAAAUUGACAAGAGAAUACCUAUAAUAUAUGAAUUUUGUCUUUUAUUGAUUAAGAGAAGAUUAUUCUUUUUUUAAAUCAAGUAUAAGUAUAUUAGAAAUUACACAUUAUCUUUUUUUUAUUAAUAUUAUUUAUAAUAUUUAUUUAUUUAUUUUUAAAUCUAUAAGAAAAUAAAGAAACAAAGAGGUAGCACCAAGCUUACCCUAGCUCAUGACUAUUGCAAUCUGGCCCUUUCUACUUCUUCUUCAAACUACUUAUGUUUUUUCUUGAAAUGCCAACCACUACACAAUUGAUGAUAAAUACUUUUUUUGAGUGCAUCAUCCAUCGUGCCUUCUAAACUAUCCAUUCAUCAGUUUAUUAUCUUCUUUUAAUCCUACAUACUAUGUAUUGUAAAACAAAAAAUAUCCUAUCCAUUCUACAUAGCCCCAUUCCUAACUAUAACUUUUUUGUUCCAAUAAUGUUAUUUUUUCUCAUUCUAUUUCCAAUUGAUACUUCAUCUUUUCUCAUUCCAAUAUUGAUGUAUUGCAAUUCUGGAUUAGGUCUUGCUUUUGGCUUUCCAUGAUACAUUGAAUGCAUUUUUUUUUUUUUCCAAGCUUCAUGUUUUUCUCCAAACUUAUGCUCUAAUAGCAACUUGGAUUUUGCAUUUUUCUAGAUAAUUUGAUCUUGUUCCUUAAUUUGGUGGCUUUGCUCCCAUAUCUCUUUUUUGCUUGCGUCCAAUUGUUGCCUUAAAUUUCCCUCUCCAUUCAAUUUACUCACUAUUAUCGGAGUAGAAAGAGUUUGCCUCAAAAAAGCGCUAGGCUUUUGGCUGCUACUAAAUACUCAAUCAAGUCUAAGAUAUAAAGUACGAAGUUUAUAUAUAUAAUAUAUUUUGUUUUAGGAUAAUUACAUCAAUAUAUAAGCCCAAGUACUAAGAAAACAUCCAAAUGUAUGAUAAAGUAUCUUAAAACCUUAUAUAUCCUAAUGAGAAAUGUUUCCAAACUUCAAUAGCUCAUAUCUCACGAUCGGUCUAUCUAAACAACCUAAACUUUUACAUGAAGUACUGAUAAACUUUCAAAAACUACCACAAAAAAAAUCAACUACAAAUUCAUUACAAAUCUUGAGAUAUCACUAAAGCCCUAAUAGUAGCUUUAAAUCCUAGCUUACAUACACCCACGUGCUAUUUUCUUCAUAUCUCACAAAAUAAGUACUUAAAUACCAUGAAACUUUGAUCUAUAGCUUCUUAACCUAAUAACUCAGACUCAUAAAAAUUUUGAGCCAAAAAUUCAUCCAAAACUCAAGAUAUGGCUCCAACCAUUACUGUCAACAAAAUGAUUCAGUUACUGCCUUUGAAUUACAUGUGCUGUCUUCAAUUCCCUAUAACUCCUUCAUCUAAACUUGGAAUUUGUCAAAAAAUAUUUGUAAAGUAUAGUCAAGAAAGUAUUCUCUUCCACUCCAAUUACUGAUCUUUCAUUGCUCUCCGUACCCAUAUGUUAUGCUUCAAAGAGUGAUAGUAGGUACAAAUUUGACACCUUAACUUUGAACACCUAUAUUUCCUUCACAAAAUCUCAAAAUCACACAAAAUCUUCACCCAAAUUAUACCCAAAACCCUGAACUUGCUGACCUUAGUCUCCAAAGCUCAAAUGACUUUGAAAGAGAAACCCUAAUCCCUAAUAGGGCCUCGGGCAGCCUCCUUGAAGUCCAUUGGGUAUGGCCUUUGACUAAUAGGAAUGAAGAUCUCCAUUCCUUGCCUUCAUCCAACCAUGCCUUGCUUUCAUCUCUACCAAUAAGCUUUUUAAUAGUUUAGACUUUCAUCUUUAGAUUCCAACCUUUUCUUAAGUUUUAUAGUAAAUAUCUAAAUCCUACAUAAUAUAAAUAUUAUAAUCAAAAUAAAUAAAUCUCCAAAUAAAAUUUCCUAUAUCAAUUCUCUUUAAAUUUAUUUACUAACCACUCUAAUCUACAUCAAGACUUACAAACAUAUUAUAUAUCUUAAUUAAUUUUUACAUACUAUAAGCAAUUACAAUACGACACCGUGAGUUGUAAUUGAGAAAUUUGAGCCAAUAUGACAUCCUUGAGAUUCAUUCUUUUCGGUGUUCUAUCAUGUGAAAACGUUAAUUGAUUUAUGUCCAUCAAAACUGAAACUUCAGCCUUUACUUCAAUUCCCAAACAAAUUAGAACUUGCUCUAGUAUAAUCUCUAAAAUAGCCUCCCGUUCCAAUGAGUUUUUUGAUUCUCCAAUUUUGUACACUACUACCUUUGGAAUAGUUGUCAAAACUGUUAAAUUCCAAAGACUUUGUUGAGGCAUUAGAGAUGGCAUAUUUUUCUCUCUUACUGGCAGUGCUUGAUUCAACGUAUAUGUAAUCACGGAAUGUACAUAAUUGGAGCAAAGCAAAGAUACAAAUUUUUCCAUCUUUUGCUUGGCUCCCAUCUCCGCAUGGAUUUUAGUGGCUAUAAAAGCUGCCCAAUUAAACACCAUAUCUUCUAAUGUUUCUACCAUAGCAAAUAAUAGUUGUUUGGACAUAUAUGUAGUGUGUCAAUUUAAGCCUAAUCACUUCUAAAUAAAAUGCAUCCAUUCCAUAAGCUCUAGUAUAAGUGCCUCCACCAUCCAUCAACCUUGAUUCUUCUCAAAUGACAACAUACCACCUUUGAAAUAGCUUCUUGAUCUAAAAUCACCAAACAUUUCAGCAUCCACUACAAGCUCAUCAAUUUGGAGGUACAAUACCUUUUGUAAGGUAGUCUCAUUGAUCCCAAUAAUACUCUCCUUGAAAACACUGAAACCAUCUUCCAGAUCAUAAUUGGUUAUAUAUUCUUCCAACAAUUCUACAUCAAUUGGUGGUAAGUCAUUAGAUCCUCGUAAAAAUUGAUAUAAUUAUACAUUUUUAAAAUCUCUUUGUUUUUUUUGUAUUCCAGCAGAAUUCCAACUUCAUUAGUUCUAUAUUGGUAAGAACCACUAGGAACGGCGACCUCAAACUACUCUUAGCUCUCAGAUUACGACAGCUUUCUUUUCUGUCUAUAGCUCUCUUCAUUCUUUCUAUUGACAUUACGAAAUACUUGCUUUUCACUCCUUACUCACAUUGACAUUAAGUUCUUGCUUAUUGAAGUAAACCCUAUACUCCAAGAUGGUAUGUUCCAAACAACAAUGUUUGAAAUGCUAAAGAAAACUUCCACUAAGUACCUCACUCCUAACCUUUUACUUAAAGUAGGGAUUAAGAAUCCCUAAUCUUAUUUACCAUAAUUCUACUUCUGAUUUUCCUUACUAGUCGGUAUUAGGAUCCAAAACUAACCAUCAGCUAUCUUUAUUAUUCAUUAUAUAUCUAUAAUUAUAGAUAAUCUAUCAUUAACAAAUAAGCCUUUUUUCUUCUAAUUUUUAAAAUCCGUCCUGAAUUGAUGUAUAAUAAAGUUAUAAUCGGUUUUUGUUGAUUUGUGUAGUAAAUUGGAUAUCCAUAAAAUCUUCCAAUUAAAUUGAAUCAUUAGAAAAAUCUUCCACUACACAAUACAGUCCAUGCUAAUGAACUUAGAAUUUUCUCAAAAAAAUAUUAAAUCAACUAUCAUGAAGAAGUACUAGAUCAUUGGGAAAAAAAGAUUUGAGAUGUAAUUUACUAUCAUAAUAACUCUUAUAUCAACGCUGUGUAGCUUUCAUAGUCAAAAGAACUGUAGCCCUAACUUCAUCCAAUUUUUCCAAUUUUCUUAACUAAUAUUGGAAGGAUUCUUUAUUGCCAAUACAUUCAUCCAAUGCAAUUUUCAAACUCUAAACUUUCAAUUUAAUUGAUAAUAUUACGUCUUGCAUGUAUAUCAAUUGGAAUGGUAUAGAAUUUGUAGUCACUUUAUAUGCAAUAUGAUACAUCAACAAUCCUAUAAAUAAUUUAGUAUCCCAAUCUAUUCUCACACUAGACAUUGUCUUAGUUAAAAUUUUGUACAAAAUACCAUUGAUCUUUUCAAUCUAUCCAUUGGCUUGAAGAUGAUAUGAGCCUAUUUUUUGAUUUUUGAUUUCAUAUUUAUCCAUCAAGGCUGCAAUUGUAGAAUUAAUAAAAUAGGUUCUUUAAUCACUAAAUAAUUCUUUGGAACACCCAAAUCAAGUGAUAAUAUUCUCAUAUAAAAAUAUGGCUAUUAUAUUGGCAUUAUCAGUUUUUGUUGCCACUGCCUCAGUCUAUUUUGUUACAUAAUCGAUUGCUACCAAAAUAUAUCUUUUCUAUCUAUUACGUGAGGCUAGAGAGAUUGGUCCUAUAAAAUCAAUGUUCUAUUUUUUAAAUGGUGCUUGUGCCAAAAUUGAUACCAACGGCAUGGCAAAAGUUCCAAUAGGGUGACCAAUUCAUUGGCAAAGAUCACAUCAGACAUAUUAGUGUGCAUUCGAAAAUAUUGUUGGCAACCAAUAUCCAACUAUUAAAGCUUUACGAGCAGUACUAUCAUUGACAAAAUAUCCGCCACAACUAUCCAAAUGACAGCCUUUUAAUAUGAUACACACUUUACUUUGAAAGAUAUAGCAACAUAAAAUUCUAUCUUGCCCUUGCUUAUAUAAGGUAUCACCAAUUAUUAUAUAUGGCAUACUUUUUAAAAUCAAGUAUUUCUUAAGUUUCUCACUAUAAGCAGGUAGAAAUGUUUGAAAUGUCAGAUAUUUAAUCAAUUCACUAUAUUGGGAUAUAAUCACGUUGACAAAAAAUAAUUUUAUAUCAGGUAGGGCAUCAUUAAUAGAUUCAUUAUCUAAUAUAUUGGAUAAACAAGAUAUGUGGCUCACAUUGGCAUGUUUCUUUCUUGAUCUGACAUUGAUAGUAAAGUUAAAUUUUUGAAGUAGUAACAUCUAUCGAGCAAUGCGUCUACUCAAUUGAGGUUUAUUAACCAUAUAUUUAAGAGCAUUGUAGUCGACAUGAAACAUGAAGUCAUAACUGAGCAAAUAAUAUCAAAAUUUUUGAACAAAAUAAAUUAUUCUCAAAGAUUCCUAUUCAGUCGUAGUAUAAUUUUAUUCAGCUCUAAUCAAUUGUCGACUAGCAUAAUAUAUUAGAUGAUCCAAAUCCUUUUCAUCUUUUUGACUCAAUAUGGAUCCAAUAGAAACAUUGGAUGCAUCAACAUAAAUAUGAAAUAGUUUUGUCUAAUAAGGUACAAUCAAUACUAAUAUAAACACUAAUUUUUGUUUCAAUACUUCAAACGCAAUUGUACAUUCUAAAUCUACAUAUGACUAUACAAAAGAAAAUUUAUGAUUUAGGAAAAAGGCCUUCUAGUUUUUCAACUCCAUAUCUUUAAUCUCAUUGUAUACUUAGAUAACCUUUUUGUAUUUGAUUGGUGCCUAAAUUAAGAGAUUGAGACACAAAUUCCUUGAUAAUAUCCUGUUUGAUUUUUCUCUCCAAUAUACAAUUUUUUAUAUAAUCCGACAAAUUAGAAGUACAUAAUUCUAAUUCCAAUGUACUAACUUCAUUAACCCCAAAAUUAUUCAUCUAAUUAGCAAUAACAUGAUCAAAAUUUGUUGUAUCCUCCAGAUAUAUUAAAUAUUUGCCGAGUCUUCCACAUUGGUAUAACACACCUUGCUUCUGCAGGUGAGGUGGAUUAUCACCAACUUGCAUUGCAUUGAUAAUUUCAUCAUAUUCUACAUGAGAUUGACCUUCAUCAUCAGAUGUUACCUCUAAACCUAGAAUUUGAGAUUCCUGAUGAUAUUGAAUUAGGUACAUUUGUAACACAAUCUUGUCUUUCUCUUUCUCAAUAGUCAUCGUUCUACAAUCCCAAUCAUUUCUAGUUUUGGCUUGAUAUAGCCACUGUCAACCCCUUAAGAUUGAAUAGAAUAAUAUGAAAUUUUAUAAUUAAAAAAUAAUAUAAUCAAUCUUGUGUAUGAUUCCAUCGAUUAUAAUGAUAAUACUAUAUAAGAUAUCCAUUGGUUUCACUCGACUAUGAUCUAUCAUUCUCAAUAUCAAUAUUGUGGAUAAUAAUUAUUUUAAGUCCAAGUCCUCUAUUCUAUCAAUGUUCAAUAGAUUUAUACUAGAGCUACCAUCUACUUGAACUUUAGAAAUAAAAAUACCAUUGAUGGAUACAUCAAUAAUUAGUGUUCUCGGAUCGGGAUUUAAACUAACUUCACGAAUUUUUCUAUUAUGGGACCUAUAUCUUAUUAAUGAAGAAUUCAAUAUAGAACGAUAUUUUGGAGAUAUUGCUAAAAGUUGCUUCAUUAUAAUAGAGGGUUGAAUUGCAUCCAAAUCUUUCAAAACAUCAUACAGUUCUAUAUUGGUAGUGAUUCCUAGGGGCCCUCUUCUUUUAUAUAGAUUUCAACUUAAUCCUUUCAGAUGAUAUAUCUUUUUUUACAGAAUUCAGAUAUAAAAUAGCUGAAUGAAAUUUUUUGGAAUGUCCAUUCAGGAGAAGAUCCUUUAAUGUAUAAGAUGGCUCCUGGAACUUUCCAAAUAAUGGUAUUAGUGCUAAAAACAUCAUUGGAUUGUAUAGAUGGACUAGGUCCCAUUGUUGAUAAUGUUUCGAGUACAAGUAUUGGAUUUGGAGUUCCCAUAAUUGGUAUAAGGUGGUUCUUUGUAAUUAGUGCAUCCAAUUGUUGAAUUGAGUCUUUCUCUUUUUGCUAACCUUGUAUAAGCACUACGUUAACCACCUCAACCCAAUGUACUGGAGAUUCUUAUUGAACACAACCUUUAUCAUGUGACUAUUGGCUUGACUGCAUCUGCUGAUCCCAAUUAUUGAAAUUAAAUGGAGCGUUGCAUUGUUGGUACAUGUCUCCAGACUGCUUACAAUUUCCACAUAUUCAUCACUGGCUCUUGGAUUGAGACAUUUAGUAGCAUAAUAUCCUAUCUACCUACAAUGAUAAUAUCAAAAUGGUCUUCUUUCAAUUCUAUCAAGAAUAUUGGGUGUUUGUACUAGUAUAUAUCAGCUAGGUCUAUUUUAAGUUGGAUGGAUAAAUGAUCUCAAUUGUCUAUUUGGUACUGUAGAAUCUGAAAUUGGUUUUUGAGUGGAUGGAUAUUAGGAAUAUUUUUGCUGAUUUUACUCAAUACAUUGAGAAUUGGGUCUACAUUCUUGGUUAUACCUAGAAAUUUAAAAAUUAGAAAAAUUCUUAUUUUGUUUAUUCAAAUGAUUUCUGCUCUAGCCAAACCUAUUUUCUAUCUAGAUUUGAUUAACAUUCUAUGAAGUCGUUUGAAUCAUGGUCUGAUUACCAAACUAUUAUUGCUUUUGUAAAUUCGAAUAAUUGGUAGUAGCAUGCUUACCUCUAUAAAAUGUACAUUGCACAAUCAUUUGGGGUGGUGAAGAACAUUUUUUACCAUAUGGCCUUAUCAUUUACAAUUACUGCAUCAAAUAUUGGGAUGCAUAUUAGUCGGUUUAUGCCUCUUUUUCUUAUCCUUCACCAGAUUAACAACCAACUUGUCCAUCUUCUUUGUCAAAGUUAACAACAAGGCCUCAUUUGGAUCCUUCAAUAUUAUUUCAUUAGGUAACUCUUUCGUAGGUACUAAUUUUUGAUAUUGGAGGUGUAGCAAAUACCGAACUACUACUAUUGGUGGUACAGCCUGCAAUGGAAUAUCAUUAAUUAUUUUCUAUGGAUUAAGAUUUACAUCGUAAUCAAUCAUUUUUGGAUAACUGUCCACCGCUUCAUUCCAAUCUGGCAUUUGAUAACCUCCCUGAGAUAGAAUCAUUGUGGCUCCUAUGGUUAAGAAUUGAUCAUAAUGAUAUUCUUUCUAUGCCUUAGCUCAAUCAAGUAAGGAAGGAACAAUGGCCGAUUGGGCCUCUUUUAUAAACAUCUUCAAUUUUGGUGGAUAUAGCUCAUUAACUAAUAUAGACAAAACAAACAAAUCCAACAUUUGGUUAUUUGGCCAUUUACAAAAGAUAUCUGUUACUCUGUAGUGCUUCUUCUGGUACCAUUCUACUAUUCAUUAACCUUUUCUUGAGAUGUUCUUUAAAUCCAUUUAGUCAAAAAUGGAUUAAAAAUAUAUUUUUCAAUGCCUUCCAAUUAGAAAAUUGGUCCACAUGCUAGCAAUUACACCAUUCAAAUAUUAUAUCUUUUAAGGUUGCUGGCAACCACCUCAACCAAAUAUCUUUAGUUUUAUUAUUAUAGGCUAUACAUAUAGUCAAGAACUAAGAUAAAUAUUGAUAUGGAUCUGUAUUUGGAAAACCUCUAAAAAUAGAUAAUGGAGCUAUACUAAUUAUGCGAUCACCCUCGACACCAAUUUGAACCACAAUUGGAAUUGCUACGCCCCUUGUCGCCAUUGAAGACAACAAUGUUCUACUUAAUUACUUAUUAAAAUAAAUACUACCUUCUUCAAUUAUCUUUUUCAGAUUUUUUAGUCUCUUCAAUUUACUAUUAUUAUCUAUAAAUAAUUUUAUUGAUUGAAUUGAAGGUAAAAAUAAUGGAUUUUAAAACAUACUAAAUUGGCUCUUAUAGGCAAGCAAUUUAUGCUAUUCUAAAGAACUAGUUAUUAGAAUCGGUUGUAUUUGCUAUUGAAAAAGUAUCCAAUGGAAUAUCCAAUCCUUCUAUGCAUCCUUCACUUUCAAUUAAUGGACUUAAGAUAUAUGUUGGAUUGUUCACAAAAUUUUCCGCAAGUGUUCUUGGCAGUUUUCUUAAUGGUAUAUAUGACUAAAAUAUUAAUGGUCUGUCAGAUUCUUGGUAUGCUUGGAUAUGUCGAAAAGCAUGCAAGCAUGGUUUAAUCCAACUCUGUUGAUGUUUUUUUUUUAAAAUCACGUUCUUACUUAUCCCGUAACAAAUUUUUUGCUUGCACUUGUUCUUGUCUUCCUUUCAAGUGGCAUGUUUUUUUUAGUGCAAUUUUCUCAUUCUUAUUAACUAUAAUAUUUCAUCAUAUAGUAUUAAAAUUGCUUUCUAUCUCUAAUCUAACUACACAUUUGCCUUAACUUUUGAACCAUUAUCAAUUUUAUAACAUCUUCUUGCAACAUCCAUAAUCACAUGUUCAACAGUUAAUUCCUAUUACUAUUGUGAAUUUCGAGGGAGUAAUGCCAAAAUGUGAUUAUUAUUUUACUUAUUCUAGAAUAAUCUAAUUGAAAUAAACCUGUAUAAAGAGAUUUAAACAUCGAGAAAGACUACUUGUAUGAAUUUUUACUUUAGGAUCAUAUAAUUAAAUUUUUCUUGAUCAACUAAAAUAUCCAGGAAUGCUAUAUGUCUUCCGCAUUCUAUCAAAGAAAAUAUUGGAAUCAAUAAUUCUAUCUUAUAUAUUCAUUAUCUCCUCUCAUUUUUAAACUUAUGACAACAAUAAGUAAUACUAUACUAUCUUAAAAGACUGCAUAAAAUAUUCCAUAAUCCAAUCACUAGAAUUCUCUAAAACUAACUAUCAUUCCCAGUAAUCUGCUUCACAUAAUUUCAAAUUCUAUAGACUUCUUCUUGAAUCUCAAUAUUCAAUGUAUUAUAAUUCUCCUGGUUAUAUUCAUACAUCACAAACCUCUUCAAUUAUCAACUUUCCAAUCCUCCACUGAUAAUUCAACUUACAAUAAAUUUAAUUUUUCAUUUGACAUCAUCUGAAUCAAAUCUUUCUUUUAUUCCAAAAUUUCACUUCAAAUUAUUCAAAUUCAAUCUAUUACUUAUCUUCUACAAGAAAACAAAGAAACAAAGAGGUAACACUAAGCUUACCCUAGCUCAUGACUAUUACAGUUUGGCCCUUUCUACUUCUUCUUCAAACUACUUAUGUUUUUUCUCGAAAUGCCAACCACUACACAACCAAUGAUAUCUACUUUUUUUGACUACAUCAUCCAUCCUACCUUCUAAACUAUCUAUUCAUUAGUUUACUAGCUUUUCUUAACCCUACAUACUGUGUAUUAUAAAAUAGAAAAUAUCCUACCUAUUCUAUAUGGAGCAAUAAGAUUGGCAUGAAGUGAAGAUAUAGAGAUGAUUGGAGUUGCUUCAAUAUUUGUACAAAAUCAGGUUACUUUGUUUGGAAUGGAAAAUUGUUUAAGUAUGAGAAAAUCAAGAGUUGUCUUAUCCAAGAAGUUUGAUGGCACAAGAUGAAAGUUUUAAAGCUUCACUAAUCAAGUAUUAUUGCUGAUUAAACUUCAAUUUCAAAGUUAUCCAAUUUAAAGAUCACAAGUUAGGUUCAUUUAAAUAUUACUUUCAAAUUCUAUAUUAUUAAUUUUUUUUUAUUUUUUAUUUUUUUUCAAAGAUAAAAUCCAAUAUUGAAUGAUUUGGAGGACUUUUUGGUAGAGUUUCAAUUCAUGUAUAAAAAACAUGAUAUAAUUUGUAUUGCAACCAACAAGAUCCAUAUUUUGCAAUAAGACAAUUAAUCAAUGAUGAUAUAUACUUCAUAAUUUUGAAAACUUAUAAUUGACAUCAAGUGAGAUGAUAGUAUACUCAUUGGCCAAUUUUUCUCUGAAUUACAAUAUAUAUGCAAUCAAAUUAGACUCCAAGAUACAAAACCAAGCACCUAUAGCAAUUCUAAGGUUUAUUUUUUGAAAUCAAAGAAUAGGAUUUGAGAGAAGACUUAAUAAGGUUUUUUUAAGCAUUGAUUUUGAAUGAUUUAAGAGUGUAAUGAUUUUGUAAGAGCUUUGCAAAGUCACAAUUGUUUUGGGUGAUUCUAGAAUUUGUGAAAUAAAAAAGGUAUUAUGUUUUGGAAAAUUUCGUGAAUUUGAUAGUAGAUCUACAAUUCAAAAUUUAAAGACUUAUGUGAAUAAUUGUUUAAAGUGUAUGUUGUAAGUUUGAGCUUGAUCAAAUGGUUGAAUUGAAUGUUAUUGAAUUUCAAGUAAGUUGACAUCUUAGAAAUUGGACUUUGAGAGGAAAUUAGGAUUUCUAAGAGCUUUAGUAAUUUACUAAUUGAAUUGGAAUAAAAUUUAUGUAUAAGAGUAAUAAACUUAAUUUUCUACAUAUAUGUGAAAUUUAAAAAUAAUUGAAUGGUUUUAAAAGGAUAUAUUGGUAUUGAAAGUUCAACAUUUAGAUUGGAGUAGAAGGCUAGCCAAUACCUAAGCAGAUUUUAGGAUUUCUUUUUUAUUUGGUAAGUAAAAUUAUCUUCAAAUUUUGUAUGUUUUUUGCUAAUUUAGUUAUUUAAAAGUGUAUAAAAUUUUAACCAAGUUCAAUAGUUUAAUUGAUAGAUAUUGAGGUUCUAAAUUAUACUAGGAUUAAGUUGAAUUAGGAUUUGGUUAGAGUUUGGUCUAGGUUUAGGGUUGGAUUAAGGUUUAGGAUUUGAUUAAGAUUUGGUUAGGAUUUAGGAUUGAACAAGGAUAUAAAAAUGAAUUAGGAUUUAAGAUUUGGAUUAGGAUUUUUUUAGAAUUUAGAAUUUAAGAUUUUUUUAGGAAUUAAGAUUAGACUAGGAUUUAUGAUUUGAUUUAGGAUUUUUUUAGGAUUUAGAAUUUAGGAUUUUUUUAGGAUUUAGGAUUUAGGAUUUUUUUAGAAUUUAGGAUUUAAGAUUUGCUUAGGAUUUAGGAUUUGGUCUACGAUUUGAUUGAAAUCUAUUAAGAUUUCAACUAGGAUUAAAUUAAGACUUUGUUGAGAUUUAUUUAAGAUAUAUUUGUAAUUAUUCUAAUAUUUCUUUAGGAUUUCUUUGGAAUUCUUUGAAGGUUUAUUGUAGAUUUUUUUUGAACUCUUUUAAGAUUUUUUAUUCUUUCUUUUGUAAUUUCUUUAAGGUUUCUUUUGAAUUUGAUUAAAGCUUGCUUAGCAUUAUUAAGGUUUUAUUAAAGUUUAUUUAGUAAUCUAUUAGAGUUAGAAUUUUGAUGUUGUAAUUUCUAUUCUAUCUUCUAUAGCUAUAUGUCCAAUGUAUUUUCGAAUAAAACUUCAUAUAAUACAACAUAGUGUGAUUGAAAUCUUAUAAAACAUCUAAUAAAGGUUUUUUUUUUUAUCCUCAAAAUCCUCUUCUUUUUUUAUAGUAGAUUUCAAUUUAGAACUUAAAUAUUAAAAAAUCUUUUUUUAGUUAGAUUCAAGAGCCUCAACUUAUUUUUUAAAUAAAGAUUUUGUUUAAAAUUAUAGAAUAUUUUUAGUAAAAAAAUUUAAUUUAUUUAUAUAGAAGUCAUAGAUGGUAGUUUAUUAUCUUUUAGAGACAUUACUCAUAAAAUUCUUCUUAUAGUAGCAAUUACUAGUCAUAAUAACUUUGUGAUAUUCAAUAUAAUUAGAUCUCUCUCUAAUUUAGUCAUUUUAGAUUUAUCAUGGCUACAAAAAAAUAUAACCUUCAAAUAAAAUAGAUUUUAUAUAGUCUUAAUUUUUUUAGAAUAUAACUAAGAGUUUUAUCAAUCAAGUAGAAAUUCAAAGUCUAAUGCAAUUAAAUUUAUAUUUAUAAGUGUAAGAGUUUUUUUGCAUGCUGCAAAAGAAGAAUCACCUUGUAUUAUUUAUGCCACACUUGUUUCUAAUGGCAAAAAGACUUAAAGUGGCAUUCCAAGUCAAUAUUAAGAUUAUCAAGAUAUUUUUGAAAAAAAAAUGUGGAUACUAUUCUAAAAUAUUGCCUUUAUGAUUGUUCAAUUAAUUUUUAAGAAAGAGUUCAAUGACCAUUUGGACAAGUUGUCAUAGAUAUAUAUAUUUAUAUAAAUAAAAAAUAUUAGAUAGAAGAUAGAUAGAUUUAAUAUUAUCUUAUGGCAAAGCUUUUUAAAAGCUUCAAAAUCACAUAUUUGACUUUAGACAUGUUUGUAGUUGAUUGAUAGGUUAGAAACUUAGCCAAAAAAUUAGCCACAUGUUAUAUGUAUUAAUAGCUUAUAGAAUAAAUUAACUACAUAGUACAUAUAUAAAAAACCUGUCCAUGUAAGUUAGACAUAUGUCUCAUAAGUUAGACACAUGUGGAAGGCCUUAUACAACAUCACUAUAUAGCUCAUAGUUAGAUAGUAUAUAUGGAAGUAAAAGUGAAGCCUUUUUCACUCUUAUCAACACCUUUCUUGUUCUUAAUCUCGUUUUAAGAGACUUUAGUUGUCUUGUCUUUGGUAAUAGUAAUUUUAAGUUAAUAUUAUACCAUCUUUGAGUAAUUAUCUAGUUUUUUCAAGUGAUACAAAAGUAUAUUGAUUAUUUGAUUUUUUGAGAAUUAUAUUUUUGUCAAUUUAACAAGAGUCCUCAUUUUUUGUCUUUAUUUUGUUUUAGAAGUGAAUGAAUUAUCUCACUUCUAUUGUUGUAUUUUGAAGGUUGUGGACUAUCCACCUUUAAAUUAAUUUUUAAUUUUUUAAUAUUGAAUAUUUUCUUUAAAGAGAGUAGACUAUCGUUCUUUGUCAAAAUUUUCAUUUGGUAUUAGAAGUUGUAAAUUAUCUUCUUCUAAUUUGACUUAUAAUUUUUUUUUAGCUGUUUAUGAAAGAAAAAAAUAUAGAUGUUAGUCUUAGUAGAAGUAAGACUAGAUUGGUAACUAUUGCAAAUCUUCACCAAUUUUUCAAUACUUUUAAGAUAGAAAUUUUAUAUAUCUCUAAUAUCAAUCAUAGAGAUAGUAUUCCAAUGCCUAUAAAAGACAUCAACAAUGAAAUUUAAAGUUUAUGUUAAAAAGUUGUACAAUUGAAAGAAGCAAGUAGAUCAAGUUUAUUACUAAAUUUAAAAAUUAUUACUAUUAUAAUUAUAAAAGAGAUAAGAAUAAGUAUGUUAGAAAAAUUUGAUGGAAUAAGAUUUAAGUUUUUAGAAUUUUUACAAUAAAUAAAAUUCUAUCUAAGAUUGUAUGCUUUUCAAUACCUUAAAAGAUUUAUUCAAGUUGGGUUCAAAGAUGCACUUCUAUUUGAAAGUACUCUUUCUUGGUUUAUACUUUUGAUGGAAAAUAAUUCAUAUUUUUUUUAUAAUUUUUAUUCAUUCUUAGAAGUGUUUACGACCACAUGAGGAGAAAGUGAUUAAAAAAUGAUAGCAAAGAUUAAACUUGCAUCUUUAUAACAAGGAUCACAUUCAACCACCAUAUAUAUUACUAAAUUCCAAAACCUUGCUUGCAACGUGGAUUAGAAUAACAAAGCCCUUAUUAAUAAAUUUUGAUAUGGAUUAAAAGAUAAUAUCAAAGAUUUACUAUUAAUAAUGCCAAAAGUAGAUUUGUUACAAUAAUUUAUUGAUUAAGCCAUUGUAUGUGACAAUUGAUUCUUUAAAAGACAUCAAGAAAAAUGAUUUGGUUGAAGAGCUAUAAGUCAAGUUAUGACAACACCUUCUAAGUUUAUAAAAUCUUAUUCAUCAAGAUUGAAAUCUAUAUAAAUUAAUAUAGUAUAUUUCAAAUGCCUCUUUGAAUAAAAAAAGAUUCAAUGCUGCCAAAAAAAUUUGUACUUAUAUUAUGGAGAAUCUUAACAUACUAUUCAAUAUUUUCCAAAGAAACUAUAUAGCCACUAAAUAAAAAAUAUGGUUGCCAAAGAAGACAAUGUAUUGAAAAAACUAAUUUCUCUAAUUACAAUACAAAUUGUGCGACUAAAAUCUUCUAUGAUACCUAGUAAAGGUCAUAUUUUUUCUCGAGAUCUUUUAUCUUACUUUAUAUUAAAAGUUUUCUCAGGACCAAAAAAUCACAAAGUCUUUAUUUUCUUAAAUUUAGGAGCCUCAACUUCUUUUAUAAAUGAUAGUUUUAUCUAAAAAUAAGAAAUAUCUUUAGUUAAGAAAAUUAAACCUAUGCAUAUAGAAGUAAUAGAUUGUCAAUUGUUAUCUUUUAGUGAUGUUAUUCAUAAAAUUAUUCCUUUAGAUGUAACAACUAAUAGUUAUAAUAGUUUAAUAAUAUUUAAUGUGAUUAGAUCUAUCUCUAAUCUAAUCAUUUUAAGAUUAUUGUGGCUAGAGAAAUAUUAUCCUCAAAUAGAUUAAAUUUUUUGUAACCUUAAUUUUAUCUAUAAUUUAAUCUAAGAUUUUGCUAGUCAAGUAAAAAUCUAUAAGUUCAAUAUAACUAAAUCUUUAUUGAUAGAUACAAAAGCAUUCAUGUAUAUUACAAAAGAAGGGUUAUUUUUUAUUAUAUAUACUAUAUUUAUCUCUAAUAGUAAAAAAGCUACAAUUAAUAUUGUAAGUCAAUAUCAAAAAUAUCAAGAUAUUUUUGAAAAUAAAAAUACAAAUAUCUUUUCAAAGCAUUGUCCAUAUGAUUGUUCAAUUGAUCUUUAAAAAAGAGAUCAACCACCAUUUAGACUAAUUUAUAGCUUAUUACAAAACAAUUUUGUUACAAUCAAAGAAUAUCUUAAUAAAAACUUAACUAAAAACUUCAUACACCAUUCAAAAUCUCCAGCAAGUAUUCUUAGCUUAGAUUUUCAAGUUGCAAUUGAUUUUCAAGUUGCAACUCUUAUUAAAAGUCUUACAUAUAAAAAAAUACUUAAGUUGAAGAAAGAAGUUGAAACAUCUUUUGAAGCUUUAAAGAUAGCUUUCAUUUCUAUAUUAAUUCUUUUGAAUCUCAUGAUACUUCCAAAUUUGAAUUCAAGAAUAAUCUAUUCUAUUUUGAGAAUCACUUAUAUGUUCCAAAAAGUGAAGCACAAAUAUGUAUUAUUUAAGCUCAUCACAACUUUCUAUUAGUUGGAUAUUUUAGAUACAAUAAGACUUUAAAACUAAUAUCUAAAGAUUUUUGGUGGCUUCAAAUGUGAAAGGCAUUCAAAGACUUUGUGCAAUCAUGUGAAAUUUAUUCAAGAUCACAAACUCCUUGUCAUCAAUCUUAUAGACUUUUUCAGGCAUUAUCUAUUUUAGAAUAAUUAUAGUCUUUUAUUUCUAUGGAUUUCAUCAGAGAUCUUUUAAUCUUUGAUUCUUAUAACUUUUAUUUAUAAUAGUAGGUUUUUUCAUUGAAAUAGUACAUUUAGAAAUAAAGAUUUAUUUUAGAAUAAAUUAUGAAUUCACAAUAGAACAUUGCAUCUCUUGUGCCUUUCUCGUAUUUCAUUACAAAAUCUUGAAUCAACUCACACUUAAUCAACUCACACUUGUCUCACAAGCGACAUAAUCACAAAUCUUAAAUAUAAAAAAGCAACAAUGAGCUACCUUGAUUUUGUUUACAACCAUAUCUUUUUUAAUUUUUGUCAUGUUAUCCAUGCAAUUCUAAAGAUUAGAAGCAUACAUCCCAGCCAUAGCAUGAAUAUAAAUAAAUCAACCACCAAUCCAUAAUCAAUUGUAGUAUGUGUGCAACUUCAUUAAUGCAAAUUUUUACCAUAAAAUGUCAAAACUGGUGGACAAUAGGUCACCAACCUAACAAAAAUAUUUCACCCUAUAGAUUGGAAAUGUGGGGUGGUUGUGAGGUGGUUGUGGUGUGGUUGACAAUGGAUCAGUUACCCUACUCUUUGUGGUUGCUUCUUCACUACCAUUAUCAUAAGCGUGCAAUUUCCUAUCUACUUUGAUGAACUUCCAUGCUAGUUAACUCUUAUCUAUCAAAUCACGUUCUCUAGACCUGUCAGAAUUGCUAAAUUUCUUGCUCUUCUAUGGCCUGUUGACUGAACGAAUUUUCUAGUAAAUCAGCAGCCACCAUUCCAUCCCGCAUUUCUUUCAGCUUCUUCUAUACUUUCUGGAUUCGUUCCGAUUUGAAAAUAUCUCUAUCCACCAACCGGCCUGGGAGAGACGGUGCCCAAUCCCAUGACCAGGAAAGGCGAACACUGGUGGACCUGGAACGGGCUGGUUCCAAUCAUGUAAACCUGGGCUUCACGUAACUCGGAUGCCACGUCCUGCCCGGCGAUCAUGUGGGCGUACAGAGCCGCCAUGCAAUGGGGAGCGGAGUUGUCAUCCACCUUCCACUGCGAGACGAUGGUCGAGGGAGCUCCACCCAGCAAGAAGGCGCGCGCUAGACUGAGAACGCCUUCACGAGUCACCUUGCCCUUGUCUGUGUCACAAGCGCUCAACACCUCCAACAGCGCACGCCAUUCGACGUCUGACAGAACAAUUCCCUCGAAAGUCAAGUAGCGGGAAUAGUGAUUAUAAUUCGAGCUCCGCAAGUCUUCUGCAUGAUCCAUGGAAGCCGAAUCCGCACUUGGCACUGGGCCAUCUUGAAGCUUCAAAUUUUUCAAAAAGCUCCAUUCACUUGAUUGAACGGGCGGUGGCCAUGUUGUCACAAUAGGAUCCGCAAACUCAAAAGCUCCAUUCUUGAAUUUAUACUUUCUCGCACGGUCUUGAGUCCCCAAGUGCAUCACAGCCUGAUAUGAAGACGUGGUUGCGGCUUGCUUUGUCCAGAGGAGCACUUUUUCCUUCAGAGCUUCUGUGCCCUUCAAUGUCAUCACGUUUUGGUGUCCAAGUAGCGCAGAAACGGUGUCUGCUUCAAUCCCAGUGCCCGCCAGGGGUGGCGACUAUUUGACGUCGGAGGCAGGGUCUCCGAGCACCAAGGCUGCUCCUGCACCGUCCAUGAGCUGGUGGCCUGGUAGAAACUCCAGCAGCUCACUAUAUUGUUGGAGAGUGCGCAAGGAGGGUGUGAAGGCUAUGGUGUGACAUUCAACCAGAUGUUUCCCGGUUUUACUGUUUCUGAGAGCUGCAAACGGGACACCUGCAAGGAUCUGGUGCACGCAAAAUUAGUACGUACCACAUACAUGUCCAGCCUUUUUGAUCAUACCAGUCUCUAGCUAUGAAGCUGGGCAAGUCAAAAUGAAAGGUGAGAGUAUCAGUACCCCAUUGGCACAAAUGAUCAACUUGUGAGAGCAACUCAUGGUGUCCAGAAUAGGCUGUAUCACUUCCAUGAACCCGUCGUAGAGAAACUCCAAGAAUGGCAUCAGGUCUUCGAAUCCAAGUUCUGUGUUGUUGUCUUGCGACAUGUGGAGAUACAAUUUUGUAAGAAUGCUCGGUAAGUCCGCCACUCUUGGUUUCCCUUCCUUGUCACAGAACUCUACGUCGUGCCUUCUUUCCCGUAUAAAUAUCUCUAGGGUGCCGUCCUACAAAAUCUUGCCAUGUCAGUGACAAACUAAACUUCCAGCGAGUGAAAUUAGAUUUGAACGAGUCAGUAAGGAACAUGUAUCAUGCUGGAGUUGCAACAUAGACGAUAAAAGAUCCCUCACGGCCUUCAGUAUUCUUCAACUCAACGAACUCUACCAUGACCGUGUUCGGGCAGCACACAAGUUGGCUUUCCCUCAUUUCAACCCAUGCAUUUGCCCAAUCAUCCCAGUCCUGCUUUUGCAACUCAAAUCGAGUGCCUCAGUUGCCAAAAUUCCUCUGCAUUAAUUUGAAUGCCAGCGUGCGGCUGUGACCUUCUGCCCAGAACAACGCCUUCCUGUUCCAGCAAAGAGUCCGAAAAUUUGACAACCUUCGUUGCCAUUCAUUAUCUGAUGUACUGUCAACAGUUUCAUCCGUGACAACAAACGCAUGAUGGCGCCCAGUAUGUUAUUCUCUUUAGUAAGUAUGCACCCUCGUGUAACAGAUUAUUCCAUUUCAGCAUUUCUUUGGCCUUGGCAUGCUCAAGAAUGAGAUUCGGGUCACGUUCCGUAAAUUCAUAAAAUUGCUUGUCCCACGACGCCUCCUUUGCCCUCUCUUCGGCGACGGCAGCGGCUGACAUUGAUUUGAAAGUAGGAUUGGUCCUUCUUUCCAAAUCACUCAAGAAUGAGUAACUUCGUGCUCUCUCCGAUUUCGCGUCUUGCUUACAGAUUUGCUUUAAUUCACCAUGGAUUUCAAACAAAGUCUCGAUAGAUUGACCUGGUACUCUCAAGAUGCCUCGGAAACGAAUUGAUCCUACGCGUGCAUCGUGGAGUAGUUUCGGAUCAUCAUCUUGCGUCAUCAACUUCAGUCGUUCUUCGUUCCAAAAGAGGGCCUUCCCGAAUCUUCCACGCACCUUGUACAGGUCACAGAUACGUGUGCACACGAGCUUUCGCACAUCUACAUCGCUUUUUGACUCAUCGGGCAUGUCCUUCCCCGCUUGCACCAGCGCUUCUGCUAAGGCUGUUUUGCGCUCACCUGAAUCCAGAGUUGGAUCGUGUGCUCUCUUAUACAUAGUCUCGCUGAUCAUGCAGCUGGCCGCCUUUGAAACCCUCACACUUUCCUUGUAAAAAAACUAUAGCCGUCUGAUAAUCGCCUCUGUCAAACCUGUAUAUAUCUCCAAGAUUGAUGUAAGUCCUUGCCAAAUUCUGACUUCAUCGCAGCGGCACAGAGACAAAAGAAACGUUCAGCUACUGCAAUUUGAUCGGCAGCCUCUGCAGCCCUGCCCUUCUCUUUGCAAUCAAAGGACUUCAGAAUAUAGGGUAUUGCUUCUUCCGGUUCCUUCUCAAUGGACUUCUCAAAAUCCCGUCGAGCCUCGGGGGGUAGACGGUCAAGAUAAUCGCCAGUAAGGUAGCGACCAAGAGUAGGAAUAGUUGUUGGCUCAAGAUUAGUACUUGACGGUCCAUGUGGAUCCAAAUGAUAGUAAUUCGCUCAAGGGAUCGCCAUCUCUCCCUCACGGAUCCACUGCAACCCAUCAACGAGACAAUGAUCAAAUCCAGCAUGAGAAUAUUACAUUGUGAGAGUGUGUACAGGUUUAGAAACUGUAAAUUCUGCAGGGUAAGUUUGUUUCUAAACCCAGCAGAAUUGACAGAUUUAAAUCAGUGGACAUUACAUUCUAACCUCAUGCUGGAUAAUCAUUCACUAAAACUCACUAAUAUCAGAAUAUGCAACCCUUCGAGUUUAUGACCAUCAACUUGCGGUAGAGAGGCUCCUCAUAUCCUCCACGUAGCAUGAGCACUCGCAACCUAGAACUGUCAGAUUGUCACCCUCCACAGAGUACUCAACCAACUACCGACAGUGGCCUCAGAAUUUGGCAGAGAUGUUUUCGAAUGUGCACAAGAAUGUGCUCGGAUUGCAGGGAAUCUGCUGGACCUAGUUGAAAACAUGGCAAAGUUUGGGGAAUAUUGAAAGUUGAGGAUUGAGCUCUAAUCGAGGACCCAUCUUUCAGCGCACCAGUUCACAUGAAGCUGCCAGUGUAGGUACUGCAAGUUGUCCAAGUCUGCACACACAUAAUGGCUGAAACAUGAACCACCGUCACUGCGUUCACAAAUUGCCAUGGGGUACGCGAUGACCGAUUAUCACAAACGUCAGCAGCGCAUCAAGGUUCUAUUAUUCCGGGGUGAAAACCUCUUUUUCAAACUAAGACCAAGUUGUCGGGCUUUGAAAACUAAGAUUCUCUUGGGAAAGUUUGUGCUAAACCAAUAAAAAACACAAUAAAGAUCCAUAGGUUAUUGUAGUCGGUGCAAAUCGGUACAAUAAGUCAAAGUGAUUGCGGCGUGUGAAGCGUCUUAAAUUAUGAUGGGCAAGGAGUACUAACUUGGUAUCUGUAUCCCAGUGCCAGCAUGGACAAUUACAGUGGUUUGACAUUUUUGGUCUUCCGACGCGUAUGAAUGAUCCAUUGAAUUUCAAUCUUAGACCUUGUAAAUCAGCUCCGGAGGGAGAGUGAAUGUGAGAAAGAAGAUCAAGAUAUUGAGUGGUGAGCGCUGUGAGCAGAAUGACUAGACAAAAUGGUGCAAUUGAAUGGCUAAUUGUGUGGGAAGAGUUUCUGUUCCAAACGCAAUGUGCUUUAGCGAUUCCUUCCACCAAGGGUGCUAGUGAAUUCAAUCUGUUAGACGUGCUUUACAAAGGGACCGAUGGCGAUUUGCACAACAUUGGAUCCUUCUACAAAUGCUGCGUGCGCGAUGUAAAUAGGUUUCUACAAAUACGUUUCAAUUUAUGCUUGUAUUCUAUGUCAUGUGAAAGGUCAUGGACAAAGAUCACAAUCAGAGAAUUGAAAAGAUUCUUCCUAGGUGACAAAAUUGAGUCAGAAUAUAUCAUUAAAUUCCAAUCUAGUUUUGAAGAUAUAAAGAUUUCAUCUAUAUGAAUAUUUGGAAUGAUUAUCUUAAAAUGAACAUGGAACUAACUUGAGGCAAACUUUCUUGCAUUUCAGCGACCAGCCACCUGUUGUCAAGGCACCUAUCCCUUCAUCGGUAGUACACAUCUUUUCAUACAAACUCAAUUGUUUUGAGAACUGCUACUUUCAGGUGAACUCAUGAUUCGAAGAUCGAGAGUUUUAUUGAGAAAAGAACACUAUAAGCAUAACACAAGUAAGUAGAAAUCAGCAAGGUUGCACAUAAGAGAAGUGUGGAAUGAGAUGGUUCUCUCUUCCAACUCUCGUUACUUAUAGGUGGUGGUUGCUGCCCUAAAAAGACUUCUUCCACCAUUUGACUUUUACACAUAUGCUCCUUGGAUCCUUUGACUCAUACCACGAGGGUAUCCUAUGCCAUAUACUAAUUACUCUUACUUAGUUCUUUGGAUAUUUCCUAGGAUACACUUUAUCCUCUUGACUUUGACUCUUUGUCCUUGACCGCAUCCUAUGUCCAUAGGAUGCUUUUUCUAUAUGCCAAGAGUCAAGCCUUUGACCAUUAGUAACUUACCUAAGGUAAUAUCCUUUAUGAGGUAACUUAUUCUACUUUAACUAUUAUCUAUUCAUCUUUAUCUUUUACCUCAACACUCCCACUUUGCUAAUUGUCAAAGCCCUUCAAACCUAAUGCCUUUGUCAACAUAUGAUGUCUAUCUUUGACCAAUGCCUUUGUUAACAAAUCAGCAAGCAUAUCUUCUGUUGUACAAUACUUCAAGUCAAUUACUCCCAUUUCAAUCUUCUCUCUUAUAAAGUGAUGUUGAAUGUCAAUGUGCUUGGUUCUUGAAUGAUGCUUUGGAUUCUUUGCAAAAGCAAGGCAUCCUUGAUUGUCACAAUUCAAUGGAGUUGCUUCCAAUUGCACAAGUCUAAUGUCCUCCAAAACUUGCCUUAACCAUGUUGCUUCCAUUGCACCCUGGCUUGCUGCCAUGUACUCCGCUUCCAUUGCAGACCUUGCAAUUGUGGGUUGCUUCUUGUAAUUCCAUGAAAUUUCUCCCACUCCAACAAAGAAUACAUAGCCCGUUGUUGACCGCCUAUCAUUUGCAUCUUCAGCCCAAUCCGCAUCACAAUAACCAUGCAAAGCAAUACUUUCACCUCCAAGGUACAAUUUGAAGUCCAAAGUGCCUUUCAAGUACCUCAUGAUCCUCUUGAUGGUUGCCCAAUGAAUUGGUCAUGCUUUUGUCAUGUGUUGACUUACGACACUCACUGCAUAAGCAAGAUCCACCCUUGUGCCAACCAUUGCAUACAUGAGUGACCCAACUGCUACCUUGUAUGGAACACCUUGCAUUUGGCCUUCAACUUGUGCAAACUCUUCAUCCGUGAGCUUCAUCAACUUCAAAUUGGACUCCAAAGGUGUUUCAAUAGGCUUGCAAUCCUCCAUGUUGAAUCAUUUCAACACUCCUUCAAUGUACUUCCUUUGGCUCAUUGUGAUCGUCUUGUUAGCACGAUCUCUUGCAAAUUCUACUCCUAAGCAAUAGUGAAGCUCUCCCAAAUCACUCAUCUCAUAUUCCUUUUCUAACUUUGCCUUCAACCAAUCCAUCAUCUUUAAAGUAUUGGUUAAGAUGAUUAAAUCAUCUACAUAAAGGAUAACAAUCAUCAAGAACUCUUUUGAUUGUAUCACAUACAUAGAAUGGUCAGCCUCACUUCUUUGGAAUCUCUCAUUAACAAAAAAUGUGUCAAUUCUUUGAUACCAUGUCCUUGGAAAUUGCUUGAGUACAUACAAGGAUUUCUUCAACUUACAAACAAGAUGUUGCUUGCCUUCUUCUACAAAUCCUUGAGGUUGAUCCAUGUAGAUGUCUUCUUCCAACUCUCCAUUCAAGAAAGCCAUCUUCACAUCCAUUUGAUGCAUCUCCAAGUCCAUUGCUGCCUCAAUUGCCACAAUGGUUCUAAUGGUGGUGAACUUAGCCACGGGAGCAAAUGUCUCAUUGAAAUCAACACCAGCAACUUGUGAGUAUCUUUUGGCAAUUAGCCUUGCCUUAUAUCUCACAAUAUCAUCCAUUGCAUCCCUCUUGGUUCUAAACACCCACUUACAACCAAUUGAAGAUCGAUUUGGUGGAAGUUGAGUCAAUUCCCAUGUUCCAUUGCUCAUGAGAGAUUUGUACUCUUCUUCCAUAGCCUCCUCCCACUUCAACGCAUUCGUAGACUUCAUAGCAUCACAUAUAUUCAAUGGAUCAGCAAGGAGUGCAACAUUGGCAUGUUCUUCACUUACUUGAGGAAAGAUAUGGUCUUUCCACCAUUCGCCACAUUGUUUUCUUUCUCUUGUAGGAUAUCUCCUAUCAUUUGAAGAAGAUUCACCUUGAUGCUCUCCAACCUUCUUUUCUUUUGAACCUUGUCUCUUUUCACUCAAAGGUUGGUAUUCCUCAUCAUCAUCAUCAUCUUCAACUUCUUCAUUGUUUGUCAUCCCAAUUGUAUAUACUUUUUUCUUCUUCUUCUUCAUCUUCUUUGGUUCUUCAUGUUGAUUCAAAUCUCUACUAUCUUCAUUGUCUUCAUCUUCUUCUUCUUCUUUCAUUGCUGAAAUUGAAGAUGUGUUUACAAACACACCAUUACUCCCACUUGGACACAUCUCCAAGUGCUCACAAGCACUUUUAUGCUCAAUAAAUUCAACAUCACGACUUUUGAUGAUCUUCUUGGUAUCCAAACACAUUAGCCUAUAUGCCUUGGUACCUUCACAAUAUCCAAGAAAUACACAUUUUGUACCUUUUGCAUCAAAUUUGGACCGCAUACAAUCUGGUACCUUUGCAUAAGCAAUGCAUCCAAAAGUCCUCAUGUGUGAAACACAAGGUUUCCUCCCACUCCAAGCUUCUUGUGGAGUCAUUGAUGUAAGUGCAUUUGUAGGACACCUAUUCCUUGUAUACACUGCAUUCACCACAGCUUCCGCCCAAAAUUCAUGCCCAAGGUUUUGAGCAUGAAUCAUACUCCUUGCCAUCUCCACAAUAGUUCGAUUUGCUCUUUCAGCAACUCCAUUUUGUUGUGGAGUAUAGGGAGUGGAAGUUUGCCUUACAAUACCAUGAAUCUUCAAAUACUCAUCAAAAUGCUUUGACAAAUACUCACUUCUAUUGUUUGUACGCAACAUCUUGAUCUUGCACUCACAUUGCUUCUCCACAAGUGCCUUAAAUUCCUUAAACUUUGAAAAGCAUUCACUCUUGGAUUUAAGGAUGAAAAUCUACACCUUCCUUGAAAAGUCAUCAAUAAAUGUAACAAAGUACCUUGAUCCUGCCAUUGAUGGUGUCCUCAUAGGUCUACAAACAUCAAAAUGCACAAUCUCCAACAAUUUGGUUGCACGUGUUGCAACUCCACUUGGAAAUGAAGCUCUUUGUUGUUUGCCUUGAAUACAACCUUCACAAGUAAGAUUUGUGCAUGAUUGACCAAGAUCUAAGCCACUAACCAUGGAUUGGAGCUCCUUCAUACUUUUGGUAUUCAAAUGACCAAGGCGUCGAUGCCAAAUGCCAAACUUGUCUUGAUCUUGUGGAAAUUCAGCAAAUGCCGCCACUUCAACUCCAUUCACCUUCUUACAAUUGAUGAAGUAGAGAUUGCCAUCUCUAAAGCCUUUCAAAAGAUUAUCUCCAUCCAUUGUCUUCACAAAGCAUCCAUUCAUAUCAAAUUGUACCUUACAACCAUGAGAAACAAGUUUACUCACCGAAAGAAGGUUCUUCUUCAUCUUUGGCACAUAUAACACUUCUUUCAAUCUGAUCUUCUUCAUUUGAUUCUUCACAACAAUCUCCACUACAAUGGAGCCAAUUCCAAUGGCUUGCACCAUGCCAUUAUCUCCUAACCAUACUUUUGUUGUUGGAAUAGUCUCAUAAGUGUCAAAUGAACACUUGUAUGGAGUCAUGUGCUUGGUAGCACCCGAAUCAAUGAUCCAUUUGGACAUGGCAGCCAUAGACGUGUCUUCACAUGCCAUGAAUGCAUAAUCAUCUCCACCAACUUCAUCACAUGCAUUGUUAGCAUUUUCUCUAUCUCCUUUCUUGGCCUUGUAGCAAUUUCGUGCAAAAUGACCCGGUUUUCCACAAAUGAAGCAAGUUCUUGCAUUGCUUCUCACAUUGUUACGUUGGUUGGAAUAGGUACCUUUGCCUUGUCUUGAGAAGAGAGCUGAAUCUUCACUUUGAUGCUCCUUCUCUUUCCUUUUAGUUACUUCAUGUGCAAGUCUUGAUGUCACAUAGUCCAUUGUAAGCUCCUUCAACCUCAAAGACUCCAAUGCCACAAUGAGGUAGUUGUAGGACUCGGGAAGACUCAUGAGUAGAGUCAUGACAAUGUCACCAUCCUCUAAAGGCUUGUCAACAAUUGCUAGUUGAUUUGCAAGGGCCUUUACCUUAUUAACAUGUGCCAGAAGUGUGGAAUGAGAUGGUUCUCUCUUCCAACUCUCAUUACUUAUAGGUGGUGGUUGCUGCCCUAAAAGGACUUCUUCCACCAUUUGAUUUUUACACAUAUGCUCCUUGGAUCCUUUGACUCAUACCACGAGGGUAUCCAAGGAUCCUAGGAUCCUAUGGCAUCUUACAUACCACGAGGGUAUCCUAUGCCAUAUACUAAUUACUCUUACCUAGUUCUUUGGAUAUCCCCUAGGACACACUUUAUCCUCUUGACUUUGACUCUUUGUCCUUGACCGCAUCCUAUGUCCAUAGGAUGCUUUUUCUAUAUGCCAAGAGUCAAGCCUUUGACCAUUAGCAACUUACCUAAGGUAAUAUCCUUUACGAGGUAACUUAUUCUACUUUAACUAUUAUCUAUUCAUCUUUAUCUUUUACCUCAACAAGUUUGAUAAAACUGGCUCUGCUAAUAGUCUGGUAAUCACAGAACUGGAUACAUCGUUGGACUAAAUAAUAUCACGGAAAUUUGAAGUUCAAUUAGUACAUGUAUGACUCACCUUCACAGCAACUUUUCUACCAUCAAAAAAACGAGUUACGUGGACUUAAUGGCAAGUGAUGCACUGGCCAGAAGAACCUCCGAGAACUCAACAAAUUCCUUCAGGAAGAAACAAAGGAAACUGAACUCGGUCACUGCUUUAGGAAACAGUGUGGUCACAACAUUAUCAGACAUACAAAUUAUAGUGUUAUUCUUCUCUGGGAUUUAAAUGAGUCAGUGGACCUCUACACAUUGAUCAGAGUGCAAACUAAACCUCACUAAGUUCCAGGACAUUAAGGCAAUAGCAGAAAGUACAUCACUAGGAUAGAGACCAAGCUCAGCCAUAAAUACGUCCCGAACUUGCUGGAUAGUUUGAUUUGGAUACUUGUUUAGUGUUGAAGAUCGCAUGGUUUCCUCAUAAAUUCAUGAGGAACCAAAUAGUCCUACAAAUUCAUGAUCCAGCACCCAGAGUUCCAACCGUCAGAAUUCUAAGGAAAAUACCACAUAACUUUGAAGAUUUCGGGCAGUGAGGGCUACAGUAGUUCCAAAAGACCCAAAUUUCCAUGUCGAAAAAAAUGCAUCUGUAAUAUUCAAGUUUUGUAAUUUUAUGGCAAACAAAUAAAUCACCAGUUGACUAAUGUAUCGGCCUAAGUAUCCCAGGAAUUGAUCCAGGAUAUGGCACUCUGAAAUCCCAGGAGACUCUUACAAAGAAAGUUAAAAUGUUCGCAACCUUCAUAAAAGAGAUGGAAAAGGAUAGGAUGGCAAUCAAGAUGGUAUUACUAAAACUUUAAUCGGUUUUGCAACAGUCUGUCUUCUUUAAAGUUUUUGAGUUCGUUCAGUAAAAUUGUUCUCAUCAGAUUUAGGCAAUUUCCUAGUGCCCUUGUAAGCAUUUUAUUUGCUGGGUCAGGUACAUUUAAUCGACUAAAAGUUAACUGCUCCGUAUGUCUGAUUAGAUGUCUAAAACGAUCGAAAAACUAGAGAAGGAGAAUAUCGCUCUUAAGAAGAAGGCAGAAAAAUCGGAUGUCACGGUUAUCGAACUUCUGGAUGAGGUAACUUACAAUUACUUUUGCAUAUUUUUAGCUCAUCAUAUCAAAACCAGAAUACUUGCAAUUGAAGCGUUUUCGUGAAGGAAGUGGUGAAGAUGAAGUUGGAUGCCGAUGAACACUUCUCCCACGUGAGCCUGUGCAUGGGUACCUAUUAGUUGGGAACUGAGCUGGUAUUGAGAAUAUUUUAUGGGUUUCCACCCAUGCUGUGGCCUUCGCCAUCCAGCCCAACUUCACCAAACCCGUUAAUAGGCAUUUCUAUCUUAGAUGUUUGCAAUAGUCUUUGAAUAUCUACCUUGUAUUUUUUCUGUUUUCUUUUUACAAACUAAUUGUCUCUUUCACUUUCUUUCAAUUUAUUUCCAAUCCUUCUUCUUCUUCUUUAUCUUUGAGCAAAAUUUAUAACUUUUUUUACAAUUUUUAAUCAACUGCUUGAAGAAAAAGCUUCCCUUUACUUGAAUCUAGUAAUUGCUUCUCUUUCUUUCAUAAAUGAGAAUAUUUUCUUUUAAACCCCUUCAAUAAUUCCAUUGCUUGAAGAUCUUUCUUAGGUCUUUUAAUCCAUUCAAAAAAUGACUUGUUUAUAAUUUAUUUAUUAUAUUUUUAGAAAAAUUCAUCCUUCAAUGCUUAAGAAAAUUUCUUCCAUGAACCUCCAAAAUAUCUUAUAAUAAACUUUACAUGAUUUUUUUUAUUUUUGGCAAAAAAAUUAAUUCCAGUAAUUAAACCAUCUCUUUUUAAAAAAUAUACUUCAAUUCUAUUUUUUUAGAAUAUCAUUUUAAAUACCUUAUAAUAUCUUUUCCUUCAAAUUGUUCAAUUUUAUUAAUAAAUGCUUGUAAAGCCUUAUUUGCCAUACUUCCCUUGAAAUCUUUAACAUAUUGUUAUUACAUUAAUAAAGCAAAAGCCUCAAACAUGCUUACAAAGUUAAGAUCAAAAUACAUACCUUAUUCUCUACUUAAACUCUACUUUCAACUCCACUUGAAGCACCAAUUGAAGUACCACCCAAAGCUCUUCUUUCUAUUCUCUUGCCAUUCUUCUCUAUAAUUCAAAUAAACCAAAAAAUCCAAACACCUUCUAUCUUAAGCUUUUCAUGUCAAGUUUACUAAAUUAUGUUGUAUUUUUUGAAGUUUAUUUAAGAUUGCAUCAAACACUUAGUUGUAGAAGGUACAAUAGAAUUUACAACAAUAAGAUCCUAAUACCUCUAAUAGAAUCUUAAAUAAAUUCUAAUUAAAUUGUAACAAUGUUAAUCAAUCUUUAAUCAAAUUUCAAAAGAACUUUCAAAGAAAUUAAAAAAGAAAUAUAAGAAAAUAAUGUAUUAAUAUUAAAUAUAUAUAAUAAUAAAAUAAUAAAAAAUAUUAAAAAAUAUUUAAAAUAUAUUAAAAAUAAAAAUCUAAAAUAAAUUCUAAUAAAAUCAUAAUAUAGUCCUAAAUAAAUUAUAAUAAAAUCCUAAACCAAUCUCAAUCAAAUUCUAAAUAAAUUAUAAUAAAAUUCUUAAAAUAUCUUAAAAAAUACUAAACCAAUCUUAAUCAAAUUUUAAAUAAAUCUAAAAAAAUUCAAAAUAAAUCCUAAUCAAUUUUUAUGGCUAUUUUAAAUUUCAAUAAAUAUUAAUUGAAUUUUUUAUUUUAACUAAAAUUUAACCUAAAUUUUAAUUCACAAGCAAUUAUCAAGCACAAAAACUUAUCAAUAAAAAGAAAAAGCUCCUAAACAUCUUAAAUGUUGGUUGCCUUUAUUCUUUAAUUUAAAUGUUGAUUUUUUUAGUAAUAAUUUUUUCUUGCUAAAUUAUUCAAUUGCUUUAAAAAUUAGCUGGUAUGUUGAGAUCUAAGUUUAAAUUACUCUUAACAAUUUUUACUUCAACCAAACUAGCAGAUUUUGCAAGUUCACAAAAAUCCUCACUAAUCCUAAAUAUCAAAUAUUUAAGAUUUUAAUCCAAUAAAACUCUUAUUUCUUUUAAUUUUCUUAUUUGAUUGAUAUUAAAUUUAUUAUAUAUUUAUAUUUAAGUCAAGUACAAUAAAAAUCUCAUAAAUUUUUAUCCAUAAAUAAGCUAUAAGACUCACAAAAUCUUCAAAUUUAUAAAUCUUUUUUUAUUUUUUAAAAUUCAAAACCACUAAAUAUAUGUCUCACUUCGAAAAGCCCUCAAAAACUCAAUAUGACUUCAAAUUACAUAAAAUCAACUCCAAAAAAAUAAUUCAUAAGUUUAUUAUCUAAUUUCACUUUUUAAUCAACCAAAGAACUCCAAAAUUAUUGCACAUAUAUAAUUUUAUACUUCAGAGUGUGAUUUUGAUCUUAGUUCAUAAUUGAUUCUCUUCAAGUAUCAAUUCUUGAUAUUUUGAGGUAAUUUUUACUAAAAUCUAUUUUUAAUUCUUUUUAUAAGAUAUUUAUAUUGAUUAUUUAUUUUAUUUACUUUGAUUUGGCUCAUUUAUGCUCCUAUAAAGUAAGUAGAAGUCCCUUCUAUAAAAAAAGUAGUAUUAGUAGUUACUAAUUGUAACUAAUUCCUUAUCUAUUAUCAUUAAUUGUAAGAUAUUUUAUUAAAAUAUUUUCAUUUUAGUUUCUCUAUAAUAUAAUAAUUUCUUUCUUCUUUCACCUAAUGGCUAUAUUAUUACAUAAUAAUGUUAUUAAAAAGAAUUGUGCUUAUGUUGAACAAAAUCUAUAACAAAUAUAUAUAUUUAUUCCAAUAAUUACCUAUAUGAUUAGAUAGAAGUAGAUAAAAGUAGAUUAAUUUCUUAAUAUCUUAUAAUGAAGCUUUUUAAAAGCUUCAUGGAUGCAAUUUUGACUUUAUGUAUAUUUGUAGUUGAUUGGUAGGCUAAAAACUUAAUCAAUAAGUUAACUAUAUAUUACAUGUAUUGAUAGCUUGUAGAAUAAGCUAACUAUGUGGUAUACAUAUAGAAAACUUGACUUGUAAGUUAAGAUACAUGUCUUACAAAGUCAACAUGUGUUAGAGAUUCUUUAGAAUGUUGCUAUACAACUCAUAAUUAGAUAGUAUAUAUAGAGGCAAGAAUGGAGCCUUUUUCACUCUUAUCAAUGCUUUUUUAUUCUUUAGUCUUAUUUUAAGACUUUCAAGACUUCUUAACUUUAGUAAUAGCCAUUUCAAUUUGAUAUAUUAUUAUAUUUGAGUGAUUUUUUAGUCUUUUUUAGUAACACAAGAAUAUAUUCAAAAUUAUUUUUAAAAAAUUCAUAUCCUUAAUAGAAUCUAAGUACUUUACUUAAAUUUUUCUAAAAAAAAAUGUAACCACGAAAUAAAGAAUAUGAUUGCUAAAGAUGAUAAUGUAUCAAAAAUAAGUUUAUUAAACUACAACACAAGUUAUGGAAAUAGAAUCUUGUACAAUAUUUAGUAAAAGUCUUAUUUUUUCCUAAAAUUCUCACCUUACUUUACAAUAGAUGUUUGUUUAAGAUCAAAAAAUUAGAAAGCCUCUGAGCUCUUAAUUAUACUCUAAAAUUUAAAAUUUUAUUAUUUUCUUAUUUUAUAAUAAUUGAGCAUGUUAAAUUAGAAUUUAUAUAAGUAGAAUUUAAUUUAAUAGAAUUUUUAGGAUUACAAUCCUUGAUGAUAUAAAUUAUAGUCUAAUUCCUUGAAUUAGGUUAAUUAGGACUAAAGUGAUAAGAGUUAGAAAAUUAGAAUAGCAACUUAGUUAGUUUAAUAAUUUAGAAAUUAUUAGUCAUUACUAUGAGGGUUGACUAAAAGCUUAUGAGUGCACCUAUAAUCAUUCAUAUGAUUUAGGAGUUGAAAUUAUAAUUCUCUAAAAGAUUUAGUGAAAUUAGUAAUGAUAAUUUUGAGCUUUCCUCCAAAUCCAACAAAUUCAAGCAGCAUGGUGGUUCUUCUAAUUAAUGGGAGUCUUUUUAAUACAAUGGUGGCAUCAGAUUUACCCCAUGGAGUGAAGAAAACAAGAUCAGCACCCUCUCCUUCAAAAUACAAGUGAAGCAAUGAAAUUCUCAUUUUGAAAAAAUUUACAAAAAAUUGUCAAGUUCCUUGUAAGUAAAAACUUCCAUGAAAAUUAUAAUUGAGCAUGGAUUGAGGCAUGUGAGUAGUCGAUCUUAGCUUAAAAAGGUAUUUUGAACACAAUAGUGAAGUUAGAUUUAUCAAAAAAAAUACUUUCUUGACCACUUACAAGAGCCAUCAGCCUUGGUUAUGAGAUUGGCUCUUGAAUGAAUGAAGGCCGUAGAUCUAGAUUAGGGAUCUUAAAAAUCAAGGGUGGAGUUGUAGCCACCCUUGUAUAAGCCUCCACUCAAUUGUAUAAGAGAGGCUUGGUUUUCCAAGCCCUCCCUCUCUCCUCUUUUGGAUGAAGGGUGAAGCCAUACCAAAAUUUGGCCAAAAUCCUAUUCUUAAUUUUAUUUAGAUUUUAAAUCUCAUUGUGAAUCUUGUAAUUGUAUAUGUAUAGAUUUUUAAUUAUGAAGGACGGUCAUUAAGUUUUAAAAUAUGCUUCAUUGAGGUAGAUUGCUCCCUCAGCCUCCCAAAUAUCCCAAGGGUUUCAAGGGCCUCGGAUUUUCUUCAAUGAGUUACUCAAUUUUUUUGUUUCAAUGUGAAAUUUCAAGUGGUUUUAGUUUUGUUUUUAACUUUUUGAUAAUAUAAGAUUCGCUUGAUUUGGAGUAAGAAAGAAUUUUUGGUGAAUUUUUGAAAGUGAGGGAGUCGACUGCCUUUGCAGUUUGGAUCAAUUGAGUUUGGAAAGACAUUUUUCAGUAUCUAAUAAUUGGCUUCAUUUGAAAUUUUGUAAAUCUUUACAAAAUGAGCUCUAAAAGGCACAAGUUUUGUUGGCUUUGAAGUCAAUCUGAAUUUUUAGUAAAUUUCUAAGUGAAGAGGGUUGGUCACCGUGGUAGUUUGGAUCACUUAACUUCAAAGGAGCAAUUCUCAUGAUUAGAUCAUUAGAUUGCAACAAGAUUUAUUGAAUCAUGAGCGUCUUUAAGUCAGCCUUGCAACAAGCUAAGAAUCAUUCAACUCGAAGCUAAUUACAAAUUUUGGCAAAUUUUGGAGUAGAAGGGGAUUACUACCUUCAAUCCUUGCAUGUUGUCAAGGUACUUUCGCUUUCACCUCUCUUAUUUUAUUUUUACUAUUAUCUUCAUAGUGACUUAUAAUCUCCACAUUUCACCUUUUGACUAAUAAAUUUUAAGUUUUAACUUUUAACCUUUAAUAUUCUCACUUUAACUUUUAACUUAAGUUUUAACUUUAACUUUUAAACUUAAAUUUUAAUUUUAAUUCUUAAACUUAAUAUUUAAUUUUAAAUUUUAAUUUAACCUUUUAAUUUUAAUUUUUAACUUAACUUUUUAAAUUUAACUUUAACUUUAAUUUUUAAUUCAAACUUAAGUUUUUAUUCUUAUAGUCAAUUAAUAAUAACAACUUAGGAAAUUAUUUUUAUUAUGUUUGUAUAAUAUAUUUUAUUUAAUAUUUUAAUUUAAUAUUGAUAACUAUUUCUUAGAAAGCAUUAAUUUGAAUUGAACUACAAACAUCCAUAUUUAAAUUAACUCAACAAUUUCACAAUUGACAAUCCUUCCAUUCCACCCCCUAAAUUUGUUGUGUGGCAUCAAUUUAAUGAGUGGUGGACUUGGAGCUCACAAAGCCUUUGAGUUAUUAGAUUCAAGAACCUUAGUUUUUUUUAUAAAUAAAGGUUUUAUUAAAAAAUGUAAUUUUUUUUAUUCAAGAAAACUAAAAUUUUAUAGAUAUACAUAUUUGUUUAGAUUAAUGGAAUUAAAUAGAAGUAGAUUUAAUAAUAUCUUAUGAAGAAACUUUUCAAAAGCUUUAUAAAAGUAGAUUUGACUUUAUACAUGUUUGUAGGUGAUUGAUAGAUUGAAAACUUGGCCAAUAAUUUAACCACAUAUUGUACAUAUUGAUGAUUUAUAGUACAAGUUGGCUAUGUGGUAUUCAUAUAGAAAAUUGAUCUUGUAAAUUAGAUAUGUAUUAGAGAUCCUAUAGGACUUUGCUACAUAGCUCCUACUUAGAUAGCUCCUACUCUUGUCAAUGCCUUUUUGUCAUUAUUUUUAUUUUAAAAAACUUUAAUUUUAUUUUCUUUAGCAAUAGCUAUUUUAAUUAAAUAUUAUAUCAUCUUUGAGUGAUUUUUUACUCUUUGUAGUGACAAAAGAAUAUAUUGAUUCUUCAGUUUGUUGUAAUUCAUGUCCUUAAUAGGUGAUUCUUACCUCCAAUAAUAUCACCAAACAUCAAUAGUUUCUUUUAAUAUUAUGAUAUCAAACAUGAUGUAUUUGAUCAUCUAUUCAAGAAAGAAUGUGUUAUUCUUGAUAGUCUUUAUUUCUAUUAUAUUAUCUUAAAAGUUGUAACAAUCUCAAUAUUUUAUUUGUUAAGUCAAUAAAUAAUAAUUCUUGAGUUCAAUUUGAUGGUAGUUGAUUUUUAAUCUUUUUAGUGCUACAUAUAUAUAAAAAUCAAAAAUAAAGAUAGAAGAUAGAAUAUAAUCUCCAUUGAACUUUGUUUAUUUAAUAACAAAUAAUUUUAUGAUUUUUUAUCUUGAUUUUGAUAGAUGUCAUUAAAGAUUAUACUUAUCAAUUAAAACUUAGGACUUAUGAUUUUUUUUACUUGGAUAGUAAAAUUUUAGAUAAUGCUACAGAAAAAAUUAAGAUUAUAUUUUUUUAAUAUUCAUCUUAUUAAAUCUUUGAUAGUUUACAUAAAUUUGUAUUGAUCUAUUUUGUUUUUUUACAAAAAAAUUAUGAUUGCUUCUUAAAGAUAUUAAAUAGAAUAUGAAACUUAUAAAAAAGAACUCAACCACCAUUUAGAUCAAUCUUUAGCUUAUUAAAAAAUAAGUUGGAUAUAUUAAAAGAAUAUAUUACCAAGAAUCUUGCUAAGAACUUCAUACGCCAUUCAAAAUCUUUAACAUAAGCUCAUAUCUUAUUUAUGAAGAAAAAGAUAGUUCAUUACAGAUGCAUAUAGAUUUUCAAGGAAUCAACAUGAUCACCAUCAAGAAUAGAUAUUCUCUAUAUUUUAUACCAAGACUUCUUGAUUAAUUCAAUCAAACAAAGAUCUAUACAAAAAUAGAUCUACAAAGAACAUACAACUUGGUAUGUAUUAAAAAAAUGAAUGGAAGAAAAUAUUUCAAACCAAGUAUGAUUAUAUUAAAUAUAAUAUCAUAUCUUUUAGAUUUAUAAAUACACUAGCUACUUUUCAUCAUCUAAUGAAUGAUAUUUUUUAAGAAUUUUUAAAUUAUUUUAUUUUCUUUUAUUCAAAAAACUUUUUAAUACAAUCUAAGAAUAUAUAACAAUAUAAACUUUAUAUUUAUCAUGUGUUACAAAAACUUAGAGAUGCAUGACUAUAUAUCAAGAUUAAAAAGAAUAUAUUUCACAUAAUUUAAAUUGAAUUUUUAGGAUACAUCAUUUCAAAUGAUGGUCUUUUAAUGGAUCUUAAUAAAGUUUAAAUUAUCAUAUAUUUAAAGAUUUUUGUAAUAUUAAAAGAUGUCCAAUAUUUUUUUGGAAUUUUUUAGUUACUAUCAAAUCUUUAUUAUGAUUUUUUUUAAAGUUCAAACUAUACUUAUACAUUUGACUUGUAAAGACAAACUAAAGUAAAAUUAAAAAAAACUAAAGUAGCAUUUAUAAGACAACUUUUACUAUAGCUUCAAUCUUGUAUCAUAUUAAUUUUUAAAAGAUAUUUUUAUGGAAAAAAAUACAUCUAAAUUUAUCUUAAAUAUAUUUUUGUUACAAAUAGAAGAAAAUAAUAAAUUUUAUCUACUGGCUUUUCAUUUAAGAAAAAAUUUAGUAGCCAAAAUCAAUUAUAGGAUCUAUAAAAAAAUAAAAAAAAUAAAAAAAAUAAAAAAAAUAAAAAAUAUUGUAAUUGUGGAUUCAUAUUAAAAACGGCACCAUUAUUUAGAAGGUACUUUAAUUCUAAUAACUUUUUAAACAUAUCACAAGAAUCUCAAGUAUUUAAUAUCAACACAUGUUUUUAAAUAUUGUUAAGUUAGUCAAAAUAUGUCUUUGUUAAGAUUUGAAUUUAAAAUCACUUAUUGACUAAAAAAACGAUAAAAUUUAUUAGAUGACCUUUUUAAAUAUUAUUAUCUUAUACUAAAAGAUGGAGAUACAACUUUUGAUUAAUAAAAAAAUAAUUCUUUUGUAGCUAAAAUAAUUUCAUUAUUAAGCAAUAAAAUUAAUAUUGACUAUUGAUUCAACUUUUUUUUAAUUAAGUUCAAUCAAAUAUUUUCUUAGAUCUUCUUAUUCUUAAUAUUAAAGAUAAUUCUUUUAAAUUUUAUGAUACUUUUAAAUUUAAAUUUAAAAAUAAUCAAUUCUAUUUUGAAAGAUGCUUAUAUAUUCUAGCAGGUAAAACAAAAUUAUGUGAUUUUUAAGCGUAUUAUGAUUUUUCAAUUAUAAAAUAUUUUGAAUAUAACAAGAUCUUGAAAUUAAGAUCCAAAUAUUUUUGAUAGCCUAGAAUAUAGAAGACAAUUAAAACUUUGUACAAUUAUGUGAUAUUUUUUCAAGCUCAAAAACUUCUUGUCAUCAUCUUUGUAAAAUUUUUUAAUCAUUACUUAUAUGAAUAAAAUCAUAAUAUUUUUUUUUUGUGGAUUUUAUCACAAAUCUUUUGGUUUCAAGUUCAUAUGGCUUUAUAUUUAUAAUAGGGGAUUAUUCUAUAAAGAUGGUAUAUUAUAUACUAAAUAUAAAAACUAUCACAAGUGAAGAAAAAGCUAAACUUUUUUUUUGACAAUAUUUAUUGCUAUCAUGGAUUGGUAAGAAAUACUAUACUUUACAAAAAUAUUCAAUUUAUAUUAAGAUUUUAUAAAAAAAAAUCAAGAUAUUGAAGAUGGAUAUAAAAUUAUUAUUUAUUUUUUAUCCUCAAAUUAGUAGGCAAAUAAAAUAAGUGAAUCAAGUUUUAGAGUAAUAUUUGACAUGUACCAUCAACUACUAUUAAAAAGAUUUAUUUUUAUUUGCCAUUAAUAGAAUUUAUUUAUAAUAUUAUAAUAAUUUUUUUAUUCAAUAAUAAUUUUUUAUGCUAAUUAUGGUUAUCAUCUAUAACUUAAUGCAUUUGACUUCUCAAAAAUUAAUAUACUUAUGGCAAAAGAUUUAGAAAAUUAUUUAUAAGAAUUAUAUGCAACAAUGAAGGCAUAAUUAAAAGAAAUUUAAGAAUAAUAAAAAAAAUUAUAUAGAUGCAAUUUACUCCACUCAAGUUUGUCUUUAUGUGUCAAAUAUACAAGAAAAAUCACAACUUGAAAAAAAUCUUAAUAAAGAUUUGAUAAUAAUUAAUAAAUUUCAAAAAAUAUUAUACAUCUUUGACUAUUUUUGAGAUCUUUCAAUCCAUGUUAGUCUUAAGAUCCAUAAUAAGGCCAUCAUUUGAAAUAAUGUAUUCUAAAUAUUUAACUUGAGUAGUGUGAAAUACACAUGUUUACAUUUUGGCAUAUAAUCUUACAUCUCUUAGUUUUUGUAAGACAUGACAAACAUAAAGUUCAUAUUCCUUAAUAUUUUUAUAAUAGAUUACAAUAUUAUCUAAAUAAUAGAUGACAAAAUCAUCAAGAAACUUAUGAAAGACAUCAUUCAUUACAUAUUGAAAAGAAAUUAAUAGAUUUUUGAAUCCAAAAGGCAUGAUAUUAUAUUGAAAAUAUCUAUACUUGGUUUGAAACGUGGUCUUCCCUUCAUCUCAUUUUUUUAAUGCAUAUCAGGUUAUAUGUUUCUUAUAGGUCUAUUUUUGUAUAGAUUCUUAUUUCAUUGAGUUGAUCAAAAGUUUUGAAAACAAAAGUAGAGGAUACCUAUUUUUGAUGGUGAUCUUAUUGAGUUCUUAAUAAUUUACACACAUCCACAGAGAUUUGUCUUUUUUCUUCAUAAAUAAAAUAAAAGCCCUUAUUGUAGAUUUAGAAUGGCAUAUAAAGUUGUCACUGAUAUAUAUUUACUGUAAUUAUUACAUAGGUGAUAUGAAUAGGUAGAAGUAGAUAAAAGUAGUUUAAUUUCAUAAUAUCUUCUAGAAAAGCUUUCUAGAAGCUUCAUAGACGUUGCUUUGACUUUACAUGUGUUUAUACUUGAUUGAUAGGUUAGAAACUUAGUCAACAAGUUAACCACAUGCCACACAUGUUGGUAUCUUGUAAAACAAGCUAACUAUGUGGUGCCCACAUAGAAAACUUGCCUUGCAAGUUAAGACAUGUGUUGUGCAAAGUCAACACAUUUUUGGAGGUCCUAUAGAACAUCGCCAUAUAGCUCUUAGGUAGAUAAUAUAUAUAGAGGCAAGAGUAAAGCCUUCUUCACUCUUGUCACUCUUUUCUUGGUUCUAGUCUAGUUUCAAGGGUCUCUAGUUUUCUUGUCUUUUGGCAAUAGCCAUUUUAGUUUCUUUUUUAAUAUACAUAUUUAAUUAUUUCUAUUUUGUCAUCUUUCUUUGAAAAAAAUCUCACUUAUUUAUUUAUUUUUAUCAAGUUCUCGUCCUUGACAGAUUGACAAGAGUAUACUUACAAUAUCUAAGCUUUGUUUAAUCUUGAUUAAGAGUGGAUUAUUCCUUUCUUCUGAUGAGACAUAAGCAUAUUAGAAGUUGCGGAGUACCCUCUUCUAAAUUGAUAUUGUUCUUAGUAUUUUCUUCAUUUUUAAGUCCUUUCUUCUAUUUUUCUUGAAUAAUAUUAGACAUCUUUACUUUUCUAAGUCUUAUCAUAGCAAAACUUGCUGAAAUGAAGAGUUCAAUAGUAUAAAUACAAGAGCAUUUUAGAGAGUUAAUGCUUGCGAUGCAUCAGCUCAAUUUACUACCACAAGGAGCAACAAGAUUAGCAGGAAGUGAAGAUAUAGAAAUAAUUGGAGCUGCUUCAAUAUCUCCACCAAAUCAUGUCCCUUCUCCUAUGGUGGAAUACCCUUCUAGUAUUAGAAAACCAAAAAUUUUCCUACCCGAGAAGUUUGAUGGCACCAGAUCAAAGUUUAAAAAAUUUAUCAAUCAAGUACAACUUGUGAUUGAACUUCAAUCCCAAAGCUAUCCAAUUCCGAGAUUGUAAGUUAAAUUCAUUGAUAUGCUUCUUUCAGGUUUAGUAUUAUCAUGAUUUUUAUCUUUUUUUAAACGAUAAGAUCCAAUAUUGGAUAAUCUAGAGGCUUUUUUGGUAGAGUUUCGAUCCAUGUAUGGAAAACAUGAUGCAAUUUGUGUUGCAACCAACAAGAUCCAUAUUUUGCGAUAAGACAAUCAUUUAAUAAUAUUGUAUGCUUCACAAUUUUGACAACUUGUAAUUGAUAUUAAGUGGAAUGAUGCUUUACUUGUUAGCCAAUUUUUCUACAGAUUACAAUAAGAGGUAAAAAAAUUAAUGUUCAACUUACCUUAUCCUCAAAUAUUGAAUCAAGCAAUUGACUUUGUUGUAAAGUGUGACAAUUGUCUUUUUGAAUUUUGAUCUGAGAACCAAAUACAUAGACCUCAACGUUAUUAUAAUUCAAUAACAAUACAAAUAUCUCUUCAACACAUACAUUAAGAAGUAGAGGAUAUACAAAUUGAUGCAGUACGUUUCAAAUCUCUUAUUGAGUAAGAAAAGACUCGUCAUCGUCAAAAAGGAUUGUACUUAUAUUAAGUAGAAUCUAAGCACACUACUCAACAUUAUCCAAAGAAGCAAUGUGACUAUAAAAUGAAGAGUACAACUAUCAAAGAAGAUAGUAUGUCAAUAAACAAGUUUGUCCAGUUGCAAUAAGGACCGUGCAACUGGAACCUUGUACAAUACCUAGUGAAGGUCCAAUUCUCUCUUUGUUUUAUGAUAAAUAUUAUUUUAGAACCUAAACAUCAUAAAGCCUUUACCUUGUUAGAUUCAGGAGCCUCAGCAUGUUUCUUACAUGAAGCAUUUGCUAAAAGACAUAGCAUACUUUUAGUAAAGAAAAUUAAAUCUAUUCAUGUAGAAGUCAUAGAUGGUCGUCUAUUGUCAUCAGAAGAUGUUACUCAUGAAAUCCUUCCUAUAGAAGUAGAAACUAAUGAUCAAAGUAGCUUUGUAAUAUUUAAUAACAUUAGAUCUCCCUCUAAUCCAAUUAUUUUAGGUUUAUCAUGGCUAAAAAAAUAUAAUCCUAAAAUAGAUUGGACUUCUCGUAGUCUUGACUUUUCUGAAAGUAUAACUAAGAGCAUAGUUAAUCAAGUAGAAAGUUAUAAGUCUAGUACAAUUAAACUUAUAUUUGUAGGUGUAAGAGCUUUCUUGCAUGCUACAAAAAAAGGAUCACCUUGUGUCAUUUAUGUCGCACUUGUUUCUACUGGUAGAAAGACUUCAAGUAGUAUUCCAAUCCAAUAUCAAGAUUUUCAAGAUGUAUUUGAGAAGAAGAAUGUGAAUAUUCUUCUGGAACAUUAUUCCUAUGAUUGUUCAAUUGACAUUCAAGAAUGAGUACAACCGCCAUUUGGACCAAUCUACAAUUUAUCACAAAAUGAAUUAGUUGAAUUCAAGGAGUAUAUUGAAGAGAAUUUGGCUAAGAACUUCAUACGUCAUUUCAAAUCCCCAGAAGGAGCUUCAAUUUUAUUUGUAAAGAAAAAACAUCGAUCAUUGUGGAUGUGUAUCAAUCAUCGACGACUCAACAAAAUCACCAUGAAGAACAAAUAUCCGUACCUUUGAUAUCUUGACUCUUUGAUCAGUUGAAUCAAGCUAAGAUUUAUACAAAAAUAGAUCUGCAAGGAGCAUACAAUCUGGUACGCAUCAAAGAAGGAGAUAAAUAGAAGAUUGCAUUUUGAACAAGGUAUGGACAUUUCGAAUACAACAUCAUACCUUUUGGACUUACAAAUGUACCAAAAAUAUUCCAAUAUUUAAUGAAUGAUGUCUUUUGGAAGUUUUUAGAUGAUUCUGUUGUCUGUUACCUACACGACAUCUUAAUCUAUUCUAAGAAUCCAAAAGAAUAUGAAUUUUAUGUUCGUUAUGUAUUACAAAAACUAAGAGAUGCUGGACUCUAUGCCAAGAUAGAAAAGUGUAUAUUUCACACUACUCAAGUCGACUUCUUAGGAUAUAUUAUUUCAAAUGAUGGACUUAUGAUGGAUCUUAAGAAAGUUUAAGCCAUUAUAAAUUAGAAGAUCCUAAAAACGAUAAGAGAUGUCCAAUGCUUUUUGGGAUUUGCCAACUACUAUCGAACCUUCAUCAAAGACUUCUCUUAAGUUGCACCUCCACUUACACGUUUGACUUGUAAAGACAAAUUUCAAUGGAAUCAAGAAGUGAAAAUAACAUUUGAAGCUUUGAAGACAGACUUUGUUUUUACACCAAUCUUAUAUUGCGUCGAUUUUUUUAAGCCAUUUUUUAUGGAAACAAACGCAUCAGACUUUGCUUUGGGUGAUGUAUUGUUACAAAUGGGAACAAAUGAUAAACUUCACCUAGUAGCUUUUCAUUCCAAAAAAUUUCAACAGCCGAGAUCAUCUACAAGAUUCACGACAAAGAACUUCUUACAAACAUGGAUUUCUUUGAAGAAUUGUGCCAUUAUCUAGAAGAUGCUCUAAGUCUAGUCAACGUAUAUACGAAUAACAAGAAUCUUGAAUAUUUUAUGUCAACACUUGUUUUGAAUCAUUACGAAGCUCGUUGGAGUAUGUCUUUGUCAAGAUUCAAAUUCAAGAUCACUUAUUUAUCAAAAAAACAACAAGGUUUGUUAGAUGCACUCUCUAGACAAUCUUACCUUAUACUAAAGCAAGAAGAUGCUGCUUUUGAUCAGCAAUGGACAAUUCUCUUGAAGUUAGAGUAUCUUCAUCUUCGAGUAAUGAAAUCAACAUUAAUUGUUGAUUCAACUUUCAUUAAGCAAGUUCAGUCAAGUAUGUCUUCUAAUCCUCUUACUCGUGAUAUUAAGAGAAAUCCUUCAAAGUCUCAUGUUACUUCCAAGUUUGAAUUCAAGAAUAUUCUACUAUAUUUCAAGGGACGCUUAUAUGUUCGAGAACGUAAAGCUCAAUUACGUGUUCUUCAAGCUCAUCAUGACUUUCCAACAGCAGAACAUUUUGGAUGCAAUAAAACUUUGGAACUAAUAUCAGGGGAUUUUUGGUGGAUCAAAAUGUGAAAGGCAGUCAAAGAUUUCAUACAAUCUUGUGAUAUUUGCUCAAGUUCAAAAACUCCUUGUCAUUGACCUUAUGGACUUCUUCAGCCAUUAUCUAUUCCAAAACAACCAUGGUCUUCUGUUUCUAUGGAUUUCAUUAUAGAUCUUUCGAUCUCAGAUUCUUAUGACUCUAUAUUCAUGAUAGUAGAUUGUUUUAUCAAAAUGGCACAUUUUGUAUCAUAUAAAAAAUCUAUCAUAAGUAAAGAAAUAGCUAAGCUCUUUCUUGACAAUAUCUAUCACUAUCUUGGAUUAUCUAAGGAUAUUAUAUCAAAUAGAGGAACUCAAUUUGUAUCAAGAUUUUAGCGAAUUUUUUUCAAGAUUCUAAAAGUGAAUAUAAAACUAUCUUUGGCAUUCCAUCUUCAAACUGAUGGAUAAAUGGAGCAUGUUAAUCAAGUUUUGGAGCAAUAUUUAAGAUGUAACAUCAACUAUCAACAAGAUAAUUGGACAACUCUUUUAUCAUUAACAGAGUUUGCUUAUAAUAACAUAAUAUAUUUUUUUAUAAAACAAACACUUUUCUUUGUCAAUUAUGGUUAUCAUCCACAACUUGAUACUUUUGACUUUUGAAAAGCUGAUAAUCUUGUGGCAAAAGAUUUGGCAAAUCAUUUGUCAGAGCUACAUGCAACAAUGAAGGCACACUUAAAAGAAGUUUAAGAACAACAAAAAAUCAAUGCGGAUGUCUAUCAAAAGGAAUAACCACCAUUCCACAUGAAUGACAGGGUAUGGUUACUUCGUCGUAAUAUGAAGACUACUUGUCUUUGUGACAAGUUAGACUAUCGAAGGCUUGGACCAUUUUCUAUUUCUACACAAAUCAAUCCAGUUGUAUAUUGUUUAUACCUACUAGAGUCAAUGAAAAUCCAUCGAGUAUUCCUUGUGUCUCUUCUUGAACCAUACAAGACAGUGGACAUACCAAAGAGAAGACAAGCUCCACCUCCUCUCAUAGAAGUGGACAAUAAUGAAGAAUUUGAAGUGGAAGAAGUCGUAGAUUCAAGGUGGUCCCAAAAUAAAUUGAAAUAUCUUGUCUAUUGGCACGGAUAUGAUAUUAUAAAUUAGACAAGAUAUCUUGUAAAUGGACAAGAUAUCCGUGCCAAUGGACAAGAUAUCCAUGCAAAUGCAAAAAAGAUGGUGGAUGCUUUUCAUCAAUGGCAUCCAUCAAAAUCAAAAUGAUAACCUUCUUUAUAAAAGAAAUAAGAUCUAAGCAAGGUAACAUUCUACUUUUAAUUCUUGUUUGUAGCUUUUUUGUAUUUGUAACGCCAAAGAGAUGGAGAAUCAACAACCACGGAUUUGACUCAAGAGCCUUUGUUUGCUAACCUAUCAAACGAGAUAUUAUAAUUGUCACAACCUUCAAGAUAAUACAAUCGAGAUGAAGAUCCUCAAGAACAACAUAUUCUUCUUCAAAUAGAUGGCAAGAUACAACGCAUUUGGUAUCACAACUUUGGAAGGGACUCCCGAUGUUUGGUAAUUUUAUUAGAAGUAGGAACAAUUCCUAACAGUGUUCCAAAUGUUUUAUUUGAAGGAAGUUAUGAAGGCCUCAACAAUGAUCAAAUAACUGGUUGAUCUUUCUGCCUUAAUAUGGGACACUAUUGCUAGUUGAGAAGUCCUAACAAUCAUCUUUAAAGAGAAUAAAGAUCAGAGUAUGUGACGAAUAUAAUUUGUCGCAUGUUAGACUUCCUUGACAUGUGAUCACCGCUCCUCGUGGAACUCGUCCCUAGAAGGGGGGAAUAAUUUUAUGGACAUAUAUUUACUAUGAUUGUUACGUAGGUGAUAUGAAUAAGUAGAAGUAGAUAAAAGUAGAUUAAUUUCAUAAUAUCUUCUAGAGAAGCUUCUUAGAAGCUUUGUAGACGUUGCUUUGAUUUUAUAUGUAUUUAUACUUGAUUGGUAGGUUAGAAACUUGGUCAAUAAGUUAACCACGUGCCACACAUGUUGAUAGCGUGUGGAACAAGCUAACUAUGUGGUGCCCACAUAGAAAACUUACCUUGCAAGUUAAAAUACAUGUUGUACAAAGUCAACACGUUUUUGGAGGUCCUAUAGAACAUUGCCAUAUAGCUCCUAGGUAGAUAGUAUAUAUAGAGGCAAGAGUGAAGCCUUCUUCACUCUUGUCAACUCUUUUCUUGGUUCUAGUCUAGUUUCAAGGGUCUCUAGUUUUAAGGGUCUCUAGUUUUCUUGUCUUUUGGCAAUAGCCAUUCCAAUUUCUUUCUUAAUAUACAUAUUUAAUUAUUUCUAUUUUAUCAUCUUUCUUUGAAAAAAAUGUCAUUUGUUUAUUUAUUUUAUCAAGUUCUCGUCCUUGACAGAAAUUCUUAGCCAAAUUUUUGUCAAUACAUUCUUUUAAUAUAGCCAAUUUAUUUUGUGAUAGGCUAUAGAUUGUUCCAAAUAGUGUUUGAAUUCUUUCUUGAAGAUCAAUGGAACAAUCAUAAAAACAAUGCUUUAAAAAACUAUUUGCAUUUUGUUUUCAAAAAGAUUUUAAUAAUCUUGAUAUUUGCUUAAAAUACCACUUAAGAACUUUUUUCUAUCAAAAAUAGAUAUUAUGUAUAUAGAAAAAGUUUACCCUUCUUUUUUAGCAUGCAUAAAAGUUCUUGCACCUAUUAACAAAGAUUUGAUUAUAUUGGAUUUAUGGAUUUCUACUUGACUAGUAAAAUCUUAGGCUAAAUUAUGAAAAAAAUCAAGGUUAUGAAAAAUUUAGUCUAUUUGAGGGUUAUAUUUUUUUAGCUACAGUAAUCCUAAAAUAAUUAUAUUAAAAAAUAUCUAAUCAUAUUAAAUAUUAUUAAAUCACAAUUAUUAGUUGCUACAUCUAAAACAAUUUUUUUACAGAUAAUAUCUUUAAAAGACAAUGAACAUUAAUCUAUUAUUUCUACAUGCACAAGUUGGAUUUUCUUAAUUAAGAUUAUUUUUUAACAAAUUCUUUGUCUAUAAAAUAGGCUAAGAUUCUUCAAUCUAACAAGGCUAAGACUUUGUGAUUUUUUAUCUUAAACAAACUUCUAUUAUAAAACAAAGUGAGGAAUCUAAAAAGAGAAUAUGAUCUUAAUAAAGUAUUGUACAAGACUCAUGCCCUAUAAUUCCUAUUAUAACUAAGAAAACUUAUUUUCAAAUAUAUUAUCUUCUUUAGCAACGAUGCUCUUUAUUUUGUAAUUAUACGACUUCUUUGGAUAAUAUUGAAUAUUAUGCUUAAAUUAUCCAUAAUAUAGGAAUAAAUAUUUUUAAUAACAAUGAAUUUUUUUCUUAUUUAAUAAGAGAUUUAAAACAUACAAUGUCAAUUUGCAUAAGCUCUACCUUAGAUAAAUAAGCUUCCAAAAACUUAGAAGUUAUUGCCAUGACUUAACUUGCAGCUUUUGAUCCAAAUCUUUAUUCUUGAUGUCUUUUAAAAAGUCAAUUAUCACAUACAAUGGCUUGAAUAAUAAAUUUUUCCAAUAAAUUUGCUCUCAACAUUGCCAACAAUAAAUCUUUGAUAUUAUCCUUCAAUUCAUAUCAAAAUUGAUUGAUUAGGGCUUUUUUAUUCCAAUCCACAUUAUAGAUAAGGUUUUAAAAUUCAACACCAUAUAUAUUGGCUAAAUAUAAUCUUUAUCAUAGAAAUACAAGCUUAAUCCCUACUAUAUUUUUUUUUAUUACUUUCUCUAAAUGUAGCCAUAAACACUUCAAAGAAUGAAUUCAAAUCAUAGAAUUAUUGUGAUUUUUUUCCAUUAGAGGUUCAAACCAAGAAAGAAUACUCUUAGAAAGAAUAUUAUAAUAAUUUUAAAAGUCAAAGGUGAAAACCAAGAAAGAACACUCUUAAAAAUAAUACUACAUAAAUUCUAAUUAUGUAAAGGUAGUUCAGAAGAUAUUACAAACAUACAUAAUUAUUUAAAUAAGAAGUAUUAGAUAGAAAGUAAAUAUAUAUAGAUUUGAUAGUAGCUUGUGGAAAAGCUUUUUAAAAGUUUUAUAGAUGUGGAAUUGAUUUUAUAUGUAUGCGUAGUUGAUUGGUAGAUUGGAAACUUAGCCAAUAACUUGGCUACAUGUUGCACAUAUAGGAAACUUGUCUUACAAGUUAAACACAUGUUGGAGGUCCUAUAGAACAUCACUAUAUAGCUCUUAAUUAAAUAGUAUAUAUAGAGGCAAGAGUGAAGACUUCUUUACUCUUAUUAAUACAUUUUUUGUGCUUGGUCUUGUUUCAAGAGUCUCCAGCUUUUUUGUCUUUGACAAUAGCCAUUUUAAUUUAAUAUUAUAACAUCUUUAAGUAAUUAUCUACUCUUUUCUAGUGAGCCAAGAAUGUACUAACCCUUCAGUCUUUUGUGAUUCAUAUCCUUGAGACAAUAAUAUCAACCAUUUUCUUAAUAUUAGAUUUAUAAAUCUUGUUAAUCAAAUUACUUUGUUAUCUUCAAUUGUUUCCAAGAAAAAUAAUAAACUUUAAAUUUGUAUGGAUUUUUUUGCCUUAAUGCCACUACUUACAAGGAAGAAACAUUGAAUUGUAUUACUUUUGAUUAAUAAAUAUAUUUAAAAUAAUUUAUACAAAUAAUUUUAAAAAAUAGUAAAUAUUUUAAUAAAUUUCAAAUAAAAAAAAUUAUACUUAGAAUAUUUGAGAUUAUAACAUUAAGUUUGUUUUUAAUUUUUUAAAAUCCUAUUUAUAUGUAAUAAAGAUCUUUUGAAAUAGAAAAAAUAAUAAGUAAAUAAAAACAUAAAUACAAAUAAGUUUUCUCAAGAAGAUCUAGGCUCAAAGUUACUUGUAGAAUUAUUAAUAUGUUAAUACGUUUAUUUUUUUGUUUGUAUUUUUAUACUAAAAUAUUUUAUACAUUAAUUUUUUCUUUUCUUUUUCAUAUAUAAAACACCCAAGAAAAUACAUAAAAUUUUGUACUGAUCAUGAAGAAUUAAUAUGAGUUCAAAAUCAAGCCCAUGUUAUACUGUUUCAUGUCCCUUCAUGUUGGGCUCUUAUGUUUCAAGUUCCACUAUUGUUACAUUUUUAUACUACUGUAUGUGAUUACAGACAAAGUAGAGUAAAUACAUUAUAUUUCAUAUACAUCUACUUGUUAUUAUUGAUAGUGUAGAAACUAUCUUUACCUUUUGCACGAAUUUAGUUUAAAAAACAAUAUGAAACUCAAGAUAUUAAACAUAUUGUGAUGAAACAGAUUACAAUAAUAUUGUAAAUUUUUUCACACUAUCAAGUUAACAAAUCAUCCAUUCCUUUAUUACAGAAAAAAGCUUGUUAAUACAUCAUUAAGCUCAUGUAAAAGAACAAUAAUUUUUUUAUUAAGAAUUUUAACAUAAUUUUUUUUCUUAUUCUUUGUACGUAAAUUAAGCUAAGUUUAAUUCAUCACAUCCCAACACCAUAAUUUGAACUCCCACAAAUGAAAUUCCAAAAAUAUUGGAAACUCAAGAAAAGCAAACAAUAUGAGCUCUACAAGCCUCACAAUGCAAAGUAGAAAGCAUGAAUUCAAGAAGUGUUUAAAUAAGGGCAAACAAGACGAGCAAUGGGUUGCCUCACCAAAAGGGGGGGGGGGACCUUAUAGGACAGUGGGGCCAGACAUACAAGAGCGGCCAACCAAAAGAUGCAUAUGAAUGAAUGAAUGGGCGGAUGAAUGUAGGAAGUGAGAAACAGAUGAUAUCCGGAGGAUGAAGAAUACACAUGGAUGAGAGAUGAAUGAAGUUUAGCCUCAUUCAGUCCCACAGCUCCUGCUGCUCCCGCUGCUCCUGCUGGGAUGCGCGCGUUUGCAGCUUCCGAACCAGCUCCGCUGCGCCUCUCCUUGCGUCGCUUUGCUAUUUUCACGUCUUCCUUGCGUCGCACAUUCUCCUCUGAGCCAUGAACUGAUCCUUCUGCCGACUUGCAGAGUGACUUUUCGAGCUGCGUUCUUCCAAUUUCCGACUCGGCUGCUGUUUUUGACUGGGUAGUGGAGCAGCAGUGGCGGAGGAGGAGGAGGAGAAGGGUCUGCAUUAUUUUUGUUGUUUGCGCAAGGGCAGCAAAGGUUAGGUAGCGGUUGUUUGGCGGGAUUUUCGGUGGAUUUGGGCGUGUUGAAGCGAGAGGUGCGAGGGGAUUGUGGGUGUGAGUGACAGGGUUGCUGUUCUGAGAACUUGGGAAUUCAGGUAGUUGGGUAGUGACGACGGGAAAAUCCACGAGAUUUGGAAAUGGCGGACCGUUAUGAUAGAAAUCCGUUUGAUGAGGCGGAGGAAGAAGUGAAUCCGUUCUCUGUAAGUGCACCUGCAGCUGGGGUUCUGUAGUUUGGGAGUGUCGCUUUUGAUUUUUGAUUUAUUUUUAUUUUUUUCGUGAUUUGUUGUUGCUUCGCAAAGGUGUUGAUGCUGCUGUUGGUGUUUAUUCUUCACAACCCCUGAAAAGUCCGUUUUCUAUUUCUUGUACAUUUAGUGGUAUGUAAAGAUAUGCUCUUAACCGUGGGAUCGGUUCUAGCUUUGGACCCUCUUUCAACCUUUUCAAGGUUUUCAGAGGUUGGGUCUCUCAGUUUAAUAGACCAUUUUUUCAUGAUGUUGAAUGUGCUUUUCCUUUUGAAGCAGUAGAUGCCCUAUUAACUCAUGCACAUUAGCAGCGUUUGAAAAUGAUACAGUUGUUACAAGAGUACGGGUAUUUUGUUCUUGUCAACAGUCUUCUUUCUUUAACCUUUUCGAGAAAUUUUAAAAAUGUAUAUUUAAAAAAUAAAAUAAAAUAAAAUAAAAUACCAGGUGAUAAUGUAGUGAUGCAGAUUCUCUGCCUUAAGCUUGCUAUAUUUUCUCUUCCUGAGCGGCAUAAAAUCCUCAGAAAUUGGCUGCUUUGUGUUUGAAUCCCCGGCGAGUUGCAUAGCGAUACCCUCAAUGGACGAAACAAGCUUACGAACUUGUUAAGAAUGUGUCAAUGCUGCAGGAUCCCGUGGUGCGGGCGCAGGCAGCGAAGCCGUCUUAUGACGGUAAUGGCCUCUUUAAUGGCUCGGUAUGUUACCUGUACUAAGUUGUACUAAGUUGUGCCAAUCGAUCCUUCGUUACUCAACACAUGUAUGAUGAACAGGAUAUGAAACUUACACACAUUAUCUGUAACAUUUCACCUCAUUUAUAUACCAUUGUAUUCUAUGACUCGUGUCUAUUCAUGUUUACGAUCGAAAGGUAGAGUGUCAUUAUGAUGAACAGAUUGAUCCAUGAUCAAGUAUCUCUAAGUACAUUUUAUUACAUGAUAAGAUGCAGAAAACUUCUACCGUGUAAGCAAAGCAAUUAAGUUUCUUUAUCUCUUCUUUUGCUGAUAAAAAUGCUAAUGGCAGUUGUAUUAAUACUAAGCUCAUAAAAAAAUAAAAUAAAUAAAAAAACGUAAUUUCCUCCUAUCUUGUAGUUUGUUUAACUGGAUAAUUGGUCGGUACGCUCAGCGUUGGCCGUAAAGUGGACGCAUAAAAAACCCUUUGUCUUUUGUGAUGGCCUAAUACGUGUUAGACAAAAUAAAAGAUAAAAGGGAACGGAAUUUCGAGUAAAGGAUACCAGAUUACUCACCGAAUUGAGAAAAACAGUAGGACUUGGCUAGAUGACUUGUUCAGUUUUUUAAGGAUUUUUUUGGCUCAUGUUGCUUAUAAAGUUAGAAGUGAGAGAAUAUGUGUUCCCGUGUAAUACUACGCAAUCUCAUUGAGCGGAAGAAACUUGAAAAUCUGUUUUCGAACUCUAGAUCGUCUUCUCAUUCGCAUGAAUCAGCGUUCUCAGGAGUGAGUAAGGCCCCGUUGGUGAGUGCGAUAAAAUGAAUUUAGACCUCAAGAUUAAUGAGAUACUUCAGCAAUUCGAGUGUCGCUUCUUUGUUCUUUUUUUUUUUGCUGAAGUUUUCGAUGUGUGAACAGGACUACAAGAAGAAGGAGAAAGAGCUGAAAGCCAAGGAAGAAGAAUUGAGGAGAAAAGAGCAAGUACGCGUGCAUUCCCUUUCUUUCCAUUCUAGGGCUGUUCUACAGCGCUCUCUGUUGUGUACCCUUACUUUAAAGAGUUAGCGACUUCCACGAUGGAGCAGCGAAGAUGCGCCAGAUAACCUUCAAAGCAUCUGUAUUAUUAGCUUGACAUUCACGUACACAAACAUAAACGCAUCAAUGACUCAUCAUUUUAAAAUUAUGAUUAGUUGAACAAGUGAAGUGGGCUUAACUUAUUUUUCUAUGAACGAUUAUGUCACUGGAGAAGGAUUGGUUGCCGAACUCUCUGUUGUUAGCUUUCGUUAGCAGUUUGUGCAGAGUGGUUUCUAUUUCGAGUAUCUUCAGUAACCUUAUGAGCCUUUUUGUGGGAGUGUAGGAGUUGAAACGCAGGGAGGAUGCUGUUGCAAGAGGUACUCUUAUUAUAGUCCUCACGAAAGCCACACGUUGGUUUUGCUUUACAGCUUUAUAUCCGGAAGUGUUCAGAAGACUAUCUGUGUACCUCUAUGUCUCUAGUAUUCAUAUUUCUUGAUGUUUUAUGUGUAAGAUUCUUUCAGCAACAGUUUUACACAAGUUCAGUAUCAUUUUGGUUUGGUGUUUAUUUUGGCAAAUAUUUGAUCAUUCGGAGGGAUGUGUGCAAUGUGUAUUACAUAUGCAUCUUACUCUGAACGCAUUUUUGCAGCUGGCGUUUCGAUAGAGUCUAGAAACUGGCCACCUUUCAUCCACAUUCUUCAUCAUGAUAUCGCUAAUGAUAUUCCAGCACACUCGCGGGGAUUGAUGCGCUGGGCUUAUGCAAGUUGGUUAGGUAACCUCUAAAAUAACUUCGAAUAUGUUGCAACAGUUAACCCCAGCAAUUGGUUCUUGCAAUUAUGCUGUAUCGACUUGGUAGUGAGUAAGCUUGGAAUAUGGGAUACAAGAGGUUAACGAUUAGAGGUAUCUGUGGCGUAGUUUGGGUGUUUUCACCUGCAGGAGCAAAGUCUCUACUGUCCAGAUUGUUCUCUGAUCAUUGUAGUUGCAGGUUGCUAUAAUGUUGGAGCAUUGUGUGGGCAAUUCAAAUAACCCUCAUUCUUUCAAUUUUUCGUACUCUUGUACUCAUUGUUUUAUAUAUUUCAAUCAGGAAUUCUACUCUGUCUCUUUUGGAACUUCGUUUGCGUGCUUUCAGCGCUUAUUGCUAAUGUUGGUGGUAAGAACUGAGGCACCCUGUUGUCUAUUUGCUGAAUGUCUUCUCUUACUUCCAAGUAGUUAGACAGCUGGUUCAUGGGAUGUAUUCUAGCAGGGUGUGGUGGAAAUUUUCAGUACACUGACAACUUCAAGGUAACAGGUGUGCAGAUUCUUCUUCUUGGUAUUAUUUACGUGCUGGCUGGUUAUCCCAUGUCGUAUUUUUUGUGGUAUAGGCCUCUCUACCGGGCAAUGAGGUACUAAAUUCGUUCAAAUUUCAAACUUCUUGAUAAAGUCGGUAGAAGUUAUGUAGUAAAAAAUUUCAGUGUACAUUUAGCUCUUAAUUGUUGCUCGACUUUCAGGACAAUAUCAUGGUUUUGUUAAAUAGCUAAUUCAUGAUUACUUCUUUGACUUAAAACUGUUUCAUGUUCCUGUACGUGUAGUCUUGGGAAUGCAAGAAAUAAAGCCUGUAAAUCACAGAUGUGGUAUUCCUUGUACUUGAAGUUGGUGAUAAGCAGUUGUGGUUUAGUUACAUGAUUAUGCUUCUUUAGUUUUUAACUUACCUAUUCGUUCAUUACUCAGCUGUUAUUUUUGGGCAUGGACAGGUCCGAUAGUGUUCUGAGAUUUGGUUGGUUCCUGAUAUUCUAUCUGGUAAGUUCAGUUUCGGUCCCUAUCCUUCUAUAUCUUGUCCAUUAAUAAGUAAGAGAAAGCACGAUGGACUUUAGACUUUCUAAAAGCAUUGUGUUAGCUAGUUUUUCACUUUUGGUUGCCAUGAUGUACCAGGAUUUGAAGUUGAACUAGUGUCCUUUUUCCUUGUGUAGCUCCACAUUGCAUUUUGUGUGUUGGCUGCUGUUGCUCCGCCCAUCAUCUUCAAAGGAAAGUCACUUGCGUAAGUGUCAAGAUGCCAUCAAACCCUCUUCAUCUAGACCACAAAUUGAGAAUCGUAGUUUCGCAUGAGAUCGCUCUUGGAUCUUUCUUGAAUAUCAGACACUGCAUCUUCUUUUAUAUUUAUAUAUAAUUUGUACGGUUUCAGUAGCUACUUAAACAAAAGUAAGAGGAUACCCGAGUCUUAGAAGUUCAUGGAAUUCUACGUUGAGGGCUCGACUGCUAAACUAGAUAUUCGUCUAAUUUUACAAAACACGUACUAAGAACAUAACCAGUUCACCAUUUUUUUUUUACUAGCAUUUGAAUUGUGAUUAUCUUUUUACACAACAUCGUUUAUCCAGUUUAUUGAAACUCACUCUCGAUGUUGACAAUCAUGCAAGUCACGUGACUAAAUUGCGAGGUUGUUGAUACAGGGGAAUCAUACCAGCGCUUGACCUUUUCUCUCAGAAGCUCAUUAUUGGCGUAAGUGUGCAGUCUUCCUGAGAUUUUACAGUUUCUUGUUUAUACUGUGCUCCUUCGAUUGUAAUUGCAGCGCAUUUGACCGCAGUCUUCUAAAGCUAACGCUUAUCUUUACGAUUGAUGUUUUCAUCAGAUCUUUUAUAUGGUUGGGUUUGCCUUGUACACACUGGAAACACUUCUCAGCAUCUGGGUUUUAAAGGUAAGAACCAUGGAUUUCCUUUGUUAAAGAACUUAGCGUGUGUAGUGCAAUAGCUUAAAAUCUUUUGUUUCAUGUGAUUGGUCAUUUGUCAAGAAAUCUUUUAACAAAUUUAUGACUAGGUAUGUGUCUUGUUUAUCUCUCAUGCAGUGACGUCCUCUUACAUGUAUUUCUCUUACAUCAAUUCCAUGUUCCAAGUCUUCAACGUGGUACCUAGUUGAGGGCGCCUAGUUUCUUUUGUAAUGGUUCUUAUUAUUUCCUUGGUUUGUGGGUGUUGUGUAUCAAUAGCUGUUGUCUUCCCCGUACGUGUCAAAACAUUUUUAUUUUUAUUUUUUAACAUACUGUUGUCUUGCGGUUUCUGUGUUUUAAGUCGUUUGCGGUGUGUUUUGGUCAGAGUGUCACGCAAUAUUUCAGAGGCGAAGGAAGAGCAGCUGAUAUGAAGCGAGAGGCUGAAGCGGGUGCUUUUAGAUCAGCUGUUUGAUUUAGUUGCACUCUUAUUGAUAGACCAGAGUUUCAUUGUUUAAAUAUCUCUUGUAGAGAUUUGCAGUUUGUUAGGAAAGCUUGCAUUGGCACAGAUUGUGUUGCUGAAGUUCAGUAUGAAAUACGGACAGUAGUGAGGGUUUUUCACCUGCCUUUUAACCCUGGCAUGGUCCUCAAUGGAAUUGUCCACCGCAUAGUUGCUUUUGUUAAGUGCAGAUGAUAAUUUGUCUCAUUUAAGUUAUUGGGAUUGAAUAAUUUUAUUGACCCAAAGAAAUGAAUUGGGAGUACAUUGGGUGUCAAUAUUAAUGUUGGAAUAUUAAGUUUGAAGUUAAAUGUUUUUCAUAAUAAUCUAACACCCUGCAAUCAUGGUAAAAUUUAAUUGCUUGAUUAGGUAAUCUAAUAGAAGUUAAGUGGUGUCCUGCUGCAAGAGCCUUUUUAUUUUCUAUAAGUUUUCUAGAAAUCAUUAUUUUCUGAAUUGCUAGUCUAAUAAUAUUUUUCUUGACUAAUAUUAUAUUCUAACAUACAACAAAAGUCUGCUUUGAUGUUAAGACUAAUAAUAUGAUUCAUGGAAUCAUUAAAAAAUGUUAUUAAUCUUCAAAACAUACAGAAUGUCAAUCGUAAUUGAAGUCUUUCUUUUGCGAUUGUCUUCAUUUAUUGUGGAGGUAUUUUUUACAAUUUUUUCUUUAUGAUAUAAAUAAUGUUGUCUCCUGGAAUUUGUGGUUGGUCCACCUCAAAUAGGCGAUUUUUACAGAAAAUUGAAGAGUUAUGUCAAAAUUUGUAUACAGUACCCAUUUAAAAAGAUGUGUAUAUUUCAAAAUUGGUAGAAUCUACAUACUUAGAAUGGAAAAAAAUAGAAAAUAAAAAAUAAAUAAAAAUACUCAUUGCACUUCAUGACCUCUUAUUAAUUUAUACAUUAGAUAUCAAAUACAUUAUAAUUUAUGCAGAUUUUCUUGUAUAAUCAUGUUCAAUUCCUGAUUAAAUAAUCAAAAGUCACAAAUACACUGGUAUUAUUUUUUAAAAGUUUUGUAUGUCAGAAAUUUUGUCAGGUCUAGUAUUCUAUUUACAGAACCCAUCAAUCAAUGUAACGAGUACCACAUUUUUUGCCACUGUUUGACCAAUAUGAAGAGAUAUGUAAUAAAUAUGAUUAAAUAAAGCCAUUAAAAACUCUUACCAAACCUUUCUAGUAAUUGAAAAGCUUAAAAAUUUUCAUGACUUGUUUUACUCUUUUUCUUAUCCAUUAUUUUUUAGAUUAUUUAUUCAAAUUUAUUUUAUAAAAACCAUGAUUAAAAUCCCCUUAAAUGUAUUUUAUAAAAACCAUUUAUGAUAAGUGGAUCAUGUUCUUUUUCUUUUAAUUAACUCCCAUAAUUUGAGAACUCUUGUAGAAUUUUAAAAAAUUAUACUCAUGAUUUGUAUGAUCAUUUACUUUAUGAGCAUAAUUUGAAAAAUUCUUCAAAGGGAAUUUUUACACAAAUACAGCAGAAGAUAGUAUAAAUUUAUUUAUGUUUAUAUCUUAUUUGUAGUAAAGAUGUAAUAUUUAUUUUAUGAAGUUUAAUAUUAAUUUUAGUUAUAUAUAUAUAUAUAUAUAUAUAUGUGUGUGUGUGUGUGUGUGUGUGUAUAUUAACCCACUACAUAGCCUCUAGUGCAAUUCUAUCAAUCGAAAUUCUAUGCAAUACAUACUCGCCAUUGAGAACAUGUCCUGGAAUUAUGUGAAAAUUCCACAUUAAAAUUCCCAGCACAUUGAUGGUUCAAAUCAUGCAACAUGUUUACUCAGCCAUUGUUGCCCCAAGACUCCUCAUGGCAAGUGACUUGUCUAUUGAUUCAGGCAAACAACUUUGGAUGUCCUCUUGUUGGAUAUAUAUAUAUAUAUAUAUAUAUGUUUAUUGCACAAGAUUGUGAUAAAUAUAAUUGCACCAGAAGUCUUGUGGUGGGUUGAUUUAUAUAUAUAUAUAUAUAUAUAUAUAUAUUAUUGAUUUCUUAUUAAAGAUAUUUCAAUUUAAAAUAUUUGAAUUAUUUUACUUUAUAUUUUGAAAAUAAAAUCAAUAAUUUAAAUAAAAGAGAAAAAAGAAAUCUCUGAUAAUUUAAAAAAUAUUUAUUUUUAUACUAUAGAUAAAAUAGUUUAAAAUUAUAUUUGUAAUCUUUUUAAGAGUAUGCUAUAUCACCUUAUUGGUAUCAAAUAGUUUACGAAAUUCUGUCUAUUAAAAUCUGCACUGACUGAGUUUUUGUGUGUAUUCUAAUUAUUGAUGUUGUAAUAUAUAUAUAACCAUAAGUUAAGUCAAGUUAAUCAGAAAUAAAAUUUCUAAUUACAUGUUACAAAUGUAUAUUAGUCAACAGGAAUAAUUUAAAAAGGGAGAUCCUAUUUCUUAUUUCUCAAAUUUCGUUUUUGAUUGAUCAAUCAAUGCAAAUUAUUAUUCUCUUAUGAACUUUCUGUUGUAAAAGUUGCAAAAGGAAAAACUGGAAUUGUGGAUUAGAUCAAAUAUCAUCCACCUUCAAAAGACACUAUUGAAUAAUCCAAUUCUUCUCAUUAAUAAAUAGGUAAAGACAUAAUCACAACUUCUGAUUAAGUAAUGAAAACAUGGUUAUUCACCUAUAUCUUGAAUUUACAUUUUUAUUUUUAAUGAAAAAAUCAAUAGAUUUUAUGAAAUUCUUUUAUAAAUUCACAGCAUGCCACAAUACCAUAAUUUUGAAGAAGUGUAUUUCGUUAUUUUUUGGCUUCUGUUACCAUUGUUAUAUUAUUUAAAAAAAUUAUGAAUACAUUCUUAGAUCACAUAUUUCUAUUGUCAUGAUACAAAAAAAGGAACAAUCAAAUGAAAACAAUAUAAAAUGCAAUAUUAUUUGAGAAAAGAAUGUAACCAAUUUUUUAAAAAAUAAAAAAUGAAGUGUGCAAAUAACCACACUUGCAGUUUAGAAAGCAAUAAUACAAUUGAACAAGACAAAAUAGAAAGAGAAAAUGCAUCAAAGAAACUUAAAAAAGCCAUGAUUUUUUGCAUAUUUUUUAUGUGUGUUGAAGUUGUGGGUGGUAUGUAUGCAAAUAGCUUAGCCAUUCUAACGGACGCAGCUCAUCUACUUAGUGAUAUUGCCGGCUUUGCCAUCUCCCUUUUUGCAAUAUGGGCCUCAAGUUGGGAAUCCACAGCCAUUCAAUCAUAUGGGUUCUUCCGGUUGGAGAUAUUAGGUGCUCUUGUAUCGAUCCAAUUCAUUUGGCUCGUCACCGGAAUGCUUCUCUAUGAAGCCUUUGAAAGGCUAUAUGACUCCAACAAAGACAUAGUCAAUGGAACAGUGAUGUUUGGUAUUGCAAUACUUGGCCUCUUUGUAAAUAUUGCUAUGAUUGUUUUGCUCGGUCAUGAAAACUAUAGCUUCAAUAUUGGUAACCACGAGCACCAUCACAACCACGGGCAUGAUUCCCAUGAGAAUGGAAGCUCUAAUAGUUACAAAAAUCAUAAACAUGACAAUUUUGAUGAAAGCUUUGAUCUUCAUGGUGACAAGGAUCAUGAACAUGAUACUUCACAUAAGAAUGUCAACCCUAAUUGUUUUAAGAACCAUGGGUGUAAUGAAUUUGGUGAGAAUGUCAACUUGGAUAGUUACAAAAGUUGCAAACAUUCUAGUCAUGGGAUUGAUGGUGGCCAAAGUAAAUAUGAAGAGAUGAGCUUUAAUAAAUAUGGUAAACAUGCCCGGCAUGCUCUUGCUUGCAACGGUAGAUAUACUACUCUAGUUGUCAUUAAGCAAGUUUUGAGGAUCUACACUUCUUUAGUUGAAUACAAGUUUACAAUGAUGGUUUCAUUCAUUUUUAUUUUUAUUUUUAUAGUUUUUUUUUUGACAAUGUAAUGUAGAAUCUGAGUAACAUGUCAUUACAGCUGGAAUGUAUCAAUCUUAUUUUACUUCAAAUUUGUAAAACAUGAAUAUAUGUUGUUAAUCUAUUGGAGUUUCUUUUUGUUUUUUAUUUUUGUUUUUUAUUUUAAUUAUUUAUUGCUAACAUAAUACAAGGUUUUUUUUGUUGUAGUCAAAUAUAAUUUUACUUGAAUAUUAUCAUCUAUGCAAUAUUUUAAUUUUUAGUAAUGUUUCACUUGUUAUGAUUUAAUACAUAUAUAUAUAUAUAUAUAUAUAUAUUAUUUUUAAUAUUCUUAUAUAUAUUGAAUUUGAUAUGCAUCUAGUUAAAUUUUUAAUAAAAUAAUAUAUAUAUAUAUAUAUAUAUAUAUAUUCGUAAGUUUUGUUUCAUUUCCUUUAAAAUCACAAUAUCUUUCACAAAUUCUACAAAUAACUACACUGUUUACUAAAUUUAGAAUUAUAUUUGGAUGACACUUAUGGAAUGUGUGGUGAAGGACAUUCAUCCAGCAACAUCAUCAAAAACACAUGAAGAAAAUAACUUUAAUGAUGAAAAACACGAUGUUAGCAUGUUAAGCAAGACAACAGCUACAGUUCAACAUGGACACAAUAACCUCAAUUUGCAAGGUGCUUAUCUUCAUGUGCUUGGAGAUGCAAUUCAAAGCAUUGGGGUCAUAAUAGGUGCUGCUGCCAUUUGGUAAGAAAAAUAUUCACUAAUAGAUUCAAUCAAAAUCGCAUGUGGAUAAUUAUUAUUUUUUUUAAAGCUUAACAAACUUUUAUGAAAUUGAUAUUUUAUAUUGGAAAACAAAUUCGAUGAUUUUUGUUAUUUUCUUAUGUGGGUUUUCAAUAGGUAUAAUCCCAAGUGGAAGAUUAUUGAUGUAAUAUGCACAAUACUAUUCUCGGUGUUAGUGUUAGGCACUACUAUUCAAAUGUUAAAAGAUGUCUUGCACAUUUUGAUGGAAAGUACACCCCAUGAAAUUAAUGCUCAAGAAGUGCAAUAUGGAUUAAAUGAACUGCCAAAUGUUGUAGCUAUUCAUGAAUUGCAUAUUUGGGCUCUUACAAUAGGAAAAACUCUUCUAACAUGCCAUAUUCAAGUUUCUCCUAAUGCCAAUUAUGAUGAAGUGUUACAAAAUGUGGUUGACUAUUUAGAAAUUAAAUUUAAAAUCACACACACUACAAUCCAAAUUGAAAGUAGAAUAUAAUUUUAAAGAAUCUUAAAAUAUUGUAAUUAUUUUAUUUUUAAUUUAUCAGAAAAAAAUCAGUUAAAUUGUUCUAUGUUCACAAGUAAACUUUCUAUUUGUUUUGGGAUUGCAAAAUAAAAUAGAGUAAUCUAUUACACAGUGGUUUUUAUUUCGUUUUUAUUUUAUUUUAUUUUAUUUUUAAUGAUUAUUAGAUUGAGUGUUUUGUAUUUGCCAAAAUAGGGAGUUUACGCUUGAAAUCCAGAAAAUUUAAUGACUUGGAAUAAAUUAAUAUAUUAGAUUUACAAAACUGAAAAUAUGUUAUAAAACCAACAAGGAAUUUAAGCUCUUGAAGAUUGCAACAAAUAAAAAAAUUCAUUGCCUGUACAUUAUUAAAUGCACAUGUUGAGAUAAGUGAAUGGAAAUGAAGAAGUUAGAGAAUUAUGAUCAACAUUUCUUAGAAUUUGAAAGAAAAAGUAUCAAAAUGUAAGAAGGUAAAAAAGUAAACUUAAUUGAGAGCAUAUAAAUAUAAAACACAACUACGUUUUAAAGAAAUCGUUUUAUGAAUUAACCAAAAAAUAAUUGUAAUAUCAUAUUGUAAGGCUUAGGAUGAGCCUAAUGUUGUAAAGGAGUGAUUCUAAAUCAUUGGAUCACAGAAAGAAAAGCAAUUGGAGCAAAAACAAUUAUUUCAAUAGUAAAUCUUCAAAUCAUGGUCUUCACGUAAGUAAGAACCAAGCACCCAUGUAAUUUUUUUCAUGUUAAUAUUAAUCCAAUCUUAGAUAUUGUAAUAAAUAAUUUUGUUGAACUAAUCAAUAAUAUAUAUAUAUGUAUAUAUAAUUCUCUCAUUAUUCCAAAACCUUACCCUAUAAUUAUUUCUAUUUCUUAGUAUUCUUGAAUUAUAUGCGUAAAUGGCAACCUUUUAUGAACUCACUACAAAUGCUCACAACUGAAAUGGAAUACUGUUAUUGUACUGUUGAGCAUUAUUGAAGAGGGAGUUGUAUGCCUGAUGGGUUGACAUACUAGAAUAGAAUAGAAUACACCCCACAUUUCUCACACCAUACCCACCCACUACUGUCCAAACAAACAAUCAGAGGCAAGAAUUAGAAACGAGGAAUGAUUGUAUCUACAAAUUUAUGUAUAGGCACAAUUCAUUUCUCUCCUUCGCGAUUUAUUUAUUUAUUUAUUUUUCAUUCUUUUCCUUCUUCUUCCAUUCCUUCCCCUAAUAAAUAAAGAAGAAUGACUAAUCAAGUGGAAACACAACUCAACUCAUGGUGAUUAGUUAACAUAUUCAUGUAUUCAUUAAUGCAUUCUGGGUCUGGGCAGUUAGGGAGGGUGCAGAAGGCAGGCAGGUAAGCUGGCAGGCAGGCUUUAAUCCAACAGUGCUGAGGGCGUUGUAAUGCAAUGAAGACAAAUGCAGUAAUACUACUAACACUGAAGGAAAAGUAGUUGCCAUAAUAGUAGUAAAAAUAAUAGUUGUUAUAAAGCGUAGUAACAAUACUAGCGGUGAUAAUUCUGGUUGAAGUAAUGGUGCUACUAAAACUACGACUAGGUAUGCCUUUCUGGGCUUCAUCUGUUCAUCGGCUUUUUUUCUGCUAGCAAGGGAAGUGCAGGGAACGAGUGAGGGUUGAGUUGGGGUGUGGGCCUGUGAGUUGGACUGGCACCGUUGCAGCACUAGUCACUGAAUGAUCCCGAAUGAGGAUGGCCUUAAUGGGAAAGGAGCCCCACUCAUGCGAGUAGUCCAGAGGAGUAAAGGACAUUAUAAUAUUGCUACAUAAUGCCACGAAAAAAUAUGGAGAGAUAUAGAUAUAUAGAGCACAAAUGAAUGAGUGAAUGAAUGAAUGAUGAGAGUAGUAAGCGAGGACGAAAUGGGGAAGGGAAUGUGAGGUUGUAGCGGAGUCACUGACCCACCUCCCCGUCUCCGCCCCCUCUGGCUCGUUCACACGCUGGUGCAUUAAACUCACUCACUGCACCGCAUUGCUCCUCCACAUGCCCCCCCCCCAAUUCAUGCUGCCAUUCCACACUUAUAACGUUUGUGUGUGUGUGUGAGAGAGAGUAUAUGUGUGUGACUUCAUCUUUGUGGGUCAACGUGUUCCGCUGCAAAUCGUGAGCAAUCCCCCUGAAGUGGCAAAUAGUACCGCAAGUGCCACGGAAGAUGUUAGAUGGCUGAUAUUGAUGAGCUACAGAAGAGCUGCGGAACAGACCAUUGGAAUGAGAAUUAGCUGCUAAGCUGCUGGGGGGAGAAUAAUGGAAAGGGAGGAGUAGAUGAGCACAAAGAGGAUAAUGUGUGUCGCUCCGCUAUGAAUUUCCCUGAACCCCACGCUGGUCGACACACCCACUAGUCAAGUGCAGAGGUCCACAAUCAUGAUGAAUGCAUGGGACCCCGUGGUUGUAUACUUAAGACCCGGUAAUCGUAUUUUGCUUAAUGCUUGAGAGUGGAUCAGUGGCUUGAAGCGAUUGCAGGAGCUUGCAAUAAAUGGCCUCAAUCGGGGGGUGUGUAGAGUGUACCUAGCCAGUGCAUUCAUUUUUUAUCCUACGAGAGCUAAGCGGUAUUUAAAAGACGGGUUCCUCCAGGCUGCCAACCUUCUGCCGCUCUCGUCAUGGUUGCCUCCAUGUCCUCCCACCACCAGCCAAACCAUUAAUACCGCAGCGACACAGGCUGCCGGGGGGCCAGCUGCCAAUGGAUCUGCAGAAACGCUUGGCAUUAUACAACUAAAGGGUCGAAACCACGCGCCGGUCACACCCGCUGCUCGACUGUGAGAGGAGCUAGAGAUAAUGGGGUGCGCGGAGCAUGCAACCUUUUUUAUUCGCCUUUUUACGAAAGAAUUCGCAUCGGUUAUUGCAGAGAGUGAUAAGAGUCGAAAUGAUAUUGCAGGGAUGAUAGUAUUGGUGUUUAUGCGCACAAGGAACACUGAGCUUUGUCAGUGAAGUGGCUGCUAAGGAAGCUCAUUAACAUGUGGAGUUGGGAGUUGUCUAACCUUGUGGACAUCGUUGUGCUCGCAUAGCUGCGAGUGGGGGAAGAUCAGUUGCAUCCUCGAAAACGAUCUCGUUUAGUUGCUCGGAGUGGUCGAGCUUCAUGGAGUAGAAGUGGUCACAGAAGGUUGAGGCAGAGUUUCUGUGCCGUGCAUUUUUCUGCACAGAAAUUCAGUUAGUUCCUACAGGGUGGAAGAAAACUUAUCGAAUGUUGUGAUAUACUGGGUGAAGUCUCUACAUCCAGUGGUGAAAGGGAGACGGGUGCAACGGUUUCGAUAUGGUUGGGAUUUUUCUCUAACCCAAAGUUGGCUGGGAAUGCGUCAUUGUCGAGAAGGAGCUGAGAAUCUGUGAGUCUUCUUAACCUCUCUAAUGUGGCUUGCGCCGAGAUGGUCCAGUUUUCAGGUUUCUAAGCUUCAAAACUUGAAACAGUUGCUGCUUAGAGUUCACAAACACUUCCAGUAGAUGAUCAUUUCGGCUGCUGGAGGGGUCGUGCGUAAACUUUGCAGCUUGGAAAGGACCUGUAGUGGUCCUUUGGAGACAUUACGCAUGUUACAAGAUUUAGUUUUCUUGUUGUUUGUAAGCCAUGGAUCACGAAGUGUGCAUGUGUGAGGAUACAAGAGAACUGGAAAACAUUAUGAUUUGUCUCAUUGAGCCAAUCAUUUCUCAUGUUUCAAUGUACGCAAAGACGAAUCUAGCUCUUAAUCUUGCGUACUGAACCUCGCUCGAGUAACGAACUGGAGUCUCUGCAGUAUUUGCUUGUUGAGUUGGUCGACCGUGCCUGAUACUGCAUCAUAAUUUUGGUUUGGUGCACUGAAUGCCUCGGCUUCCGUAUUGGCCGUAAAUUGUUCCACGUUUUUCACUCACUUGCUAUGUAACCCAGCCGAAUUAUAGUGCGUUAUGCUCUCAAGUGUACAGACUCCUCCGUCAUUUGCCCUCAGCGCUCCCUCUCCCUCUCUCUCGUGAGAUGCUUGAAUAUUUGUGGGUUGUCACACUAUUACCCUUCACUCAUUCAGAUAAUUCCCCCUCAAUUACCGCGUUUGAAUAUAAUGAUAGUUGACAGUGAGAAUGCAUCAAUGUCGACAGGGUUAUCCCAUUAUAAAUACUAGCUCAAUUCUGUAGAUGCAGGGACAAAGAAGCUAAUUGCAUGUAGUCCGCUUGUCCAGGUGGUUCAACAACUGCUUUAUUGAUUCACAAUCUGUGUGAGUUACAAUGCCGGUUGGAGAUUCAAACAUGGAGGCUCAGAGAGCCCCGCUUCUUCGUGGAUUAUCGGCCGAAUUAUUAAACCGUCCUCAGCUGCCAGAUUUCCUGAAAACUGUGAAUCUCAAGUAUGUAAAAUUGGGGUACCACAUAGUCAUCUCGCACGCCAUGUAUCUUCUGAUGCUGCCCGCCCUGCUCACCAUCUUCGCCGAGGUCGGCCGCCUCAGCCACCACGAUGUCGGUGACCUCUGGAGGCAGCUUCAGUACAACCUGGUCAGUGUGCUCGUCACCUCUGGGGCCCUCGUCUUCGGUGCCACAUUGUACUUUAUGACCCGCCCACGACCCGUGUACCUCGUUGAUUACGCAUGCUACAAGCCCGAAGACGAAAACAAGUGCUCACACAAGCUCUUCUUGGAUCGGACGAUCGAUUCGGGUUCUUUUACUCCGGAGAAUAUAGACUUCCAGAGAAAGAUCAUCGAAAGGUCCGGUUUGGGGCAAGAGACUUACUUACCCCCAGCAGUGCUUGCAAAGCCGCCAUGUCCCAACAUGGCGAUGGCGCGCGCAGAGGCCGAGAAGGUUAUGUUCGGCGUAUUGGACGAGCUCUUCGAAACGACGGGUGUAAAGCCGAAGGACAUCGAUAUUCUAGUGGUGAAUUGCAGCUUGUUCAAUCCCACGCCGUCAUUGUCGGCCAUGAUCGUCAACCAUUACAAGCUGCGGGGUAACAUCCAGAGCAUCAACCUUGCCGGAAUGGGAUGCAGCGCCGGGGUCAUCUCCAUCGACUUGGCCAAGGAUCUCCUCCAAGUGCACCCCAAUGCAUACGCUGUCGUCUUAUCCUUCGAGAACAUUACCUUGAACUGGUACUUCGGCAACGACCGGUCGAAGUUAGUCUCGAACUGCAUCUUCCGGAUGGGCGGCGCGGCCAUGCUUCUCAGCAACAAGCGAAGCGCUCGGUCCCGUUCUAAAUUCCAGCUCGUGCACACCGUGAGAACGCACAAGGGCGCCGAUAAAAAAUGCUUCCAGUGUGUCUACCAGGAAGAGGAUUCCCGUGGCACGACAGGGGUCUCCCUCUCCCGCGACUUGAUGUCCGUCGCAGGAGAUGCCCUCAAAGCGAACAUCACCACUCUGGGUCCCCUCGUCCUCCCGCUGUCAGAGCAGCUCAUCUUCUUCGCAAAACUCGUUGGUCGGAAGUUCUUCAAAAUGAAAAAGAUCAAGCCAUACAUCCCGGAUUUUACCCUCGCAUUCGAGCACUUCUGCAUCCAUGCUGGAGGGCGAGCUGUGCUCGAUGAGAUUGAGAAGAACUUGGAUCUCACCGAAUGGCACUUGGAGCCUUCGCGUAUGACCCUAUACCGAUUCGGCAACACCUCCAGCUCCUCUCCCUGGUAUGAACUAGCUUACGUAGAAGCCAAGGGGCGCGUCAAGCGUGGAGACCGGGUGUGGCAAAUCGCUUUCGGCUCCGGAUUCAAGUGCAAUUCUGCGGUUUGGAAAGCUCUGCGAACUCUGAAGCCGUCCGCGCGCGGAGUGUGGUCGGAUUGCAUCGACAAGUUGCCGGUGUCGGUACCCACCGCUGCAAAUCUCGUCUCUUGAGAUAUAGGGCGUUAGGGUUCCGCCGAUUCAUUACGUGAUCAGAAUAAAUCACAAGCUGUUUAUUCUUGUAAUUAUUCUAGUCACACAUGUAGGUUGUAACAGUACACUUUAUUCACUUGUGUCAUCUGAAAUAAAUUUCUACCACCAAAUGAGGAAAAAAUGGAUGGUCUUCGAUAAGGUUGCCAUGAUUGGUCUUGUGCCUGUUAUCUAUCCAACUUCUAUGCCGAUGAAGAAGAAGCCGCAAUUUCAAGGUUUCCCUGCGUCCGAAGUUAUGUAGCGAAAUCUUCAACGAGGUCAAGUAACUGUCUGGUCUUUAUUCGUAUAUAUAUCUAUAUAUGAUCACUUAUUACUGGAUGCGAUUCAUGUGAACCAUGUGAAAAGCGACUGGAACAUGAAGUUAAACAAAUCGUAGCGGAGUGGUUAUCUUAUGAGGUUUAUUCAAUUCAACUUCCUGUUAUUGUGUGGGGCAGUUCUGGCUGGCGUUGAAGAAUCUGCAGUUCACUUAAAGAAUAAUGACUCUUAACAUGUGGAUCGUUGGAAAGGCUUGUCAGGUGCCUCAUUAACAAGGUAGAAGCAACUCUCGCUUACAGUAAACUGUAGUUUUAUCAAACGCCCACCUGCAGGAUCUGACUUUGUUAAGUCUUCUGAACACAAGCGAAGUUGCGAAACAGUAUAAGAACAGACACGCAACCAAGAGCACGAAAAUAACGUUCCACAUUUUUUAAAGAAUCCUAUCAAAGAUUCCAAGUGUCAGCAAUGCGGUGACACACAUACAGAUACCAGUUGCAGAGACCCUAGUACUGAAAAGGGCUGGGUAGAAUGUCUGGUACGGAGGAGUUCCGUGAACUGAACUACAACUCAAUCUGGAUAAGGAUUUAACUCGCCAGCAUGCUUGAACAGCAACUUGCAUUGAAGACCAUGGACACACAAUCAAAUCUAGCCACAACAGGUAAUAGAAGAUGGCCGCACCAGGUAUCUUUCUUCAGUUUCAAGUUUUCUGGUGGAUCAUUCUUUGAUUUGAUGCGCAGCCGAUUUCUUCGGCAAGGUCCUUCACUCUUAUCCAGUUCGCAGUUACUCUCUCCACGAAUUACACACAAGGUGGUAAUCUCUUCCUUCAGCAACUGGGUUGACUUCAAACGCACACAUUACACAGUGUCUUCAGAUACCUUUCACGCAGCAGCCUACUACGACUAUAAGCCACUGAUUCUCAAUUUUUUUUAUUUCACUAUCGUAGCAGAUAAGCCACACGAGCAUGCUCCGAAGUCCACACACCCCAAUAUUGAUGCUAGUUUUUCGCAAUAGUGAGUGUGAUCUCUUACUCCACGUUCCAUGUCAUACGAAAGAAUGAUCUCUCAUCGAAAGACGUGGAAAAUAGUGUUGUCAAAGUCAUCAGCAAGAUUGUACUGGAAGCUAUGUCAGGGCUUCGGCUUCAACUCCCUUGCACCAGAGAGGACGACGGUGCAGGACUCUAAAAUAGAAAUUCUCGAUUUGACUUUAAAUGGAAGGAUUUCACGGAGAGGAAAAGCGUAUACUGCUGGACAGUGAAGCAAUUAUUGAAGCACAUUGAGCCUGCACUAGGUUCAGAUAACUGCGCUUGAAAUUUUGAUUAAGUACGAAGCAAGCAGAUGUCGGUUCCAAUUGAAGGUAGAGUGGAAUCAACUCACGGUGAGGACGUGGUAAAUCCGUCAAGUUGCCGCUAUCGAUAGCAAGUCGAAGAAUCCGAAGCUACGGAAUCGAUUGAUGGGCGUUUAAGUAGCGAAGGAGGGUGGGGUGGGGAUAUCAAUCAGACUGCUUGGCGGUUCAUCGCGGAAUUGCAUUUGAGCAUGGCGACGCAAACAGGCAUGCGUGAGCCGGGCCUGGCGCCGAAAACUGGGCAAUCGUGGCACAACGUGUUUAUGGACGAUUUCUCCACUCCAGAGAGUCUAGAGACGAAAUGGCGGCAUCCGAUGGGGAGGAGGAAAUGGAAGUGGGAUGCGAAGUCCAACAAAGAGAUUCACUGGGAGCCAUACUGUGCGCAGAUUGUGCCAGACCCCGACGGAGGGAAGUCGGUUUUGCGCGUUUGCGUUUUCUCGGAUUGGUUCCACAGGAUUGAUCGACUAGCGACGAAGGAGACAUUCGGUUACGGCUACUACGAGGCGCGGUGCCGGUUCCAGGGAGCUGAGGGAAUGCACAGCGCGUUCUGGUUGUUGCCCGAUGGGAUGCGGGACAACCCAGUACCACCGGGGCAGAUAGACGGAGGCAUAGAGAUCGACGUGGUGGAGCACCGGGCGAAGGAUGGCAGCAGCGCGGACGUCUCAUCGCACGGCAACACGGCGGUGCACUGGGGUGGAUAUGGCGCGAACCACAGAUCCGUCGCGUUCAAGCUGAUGAGACUCCCAGACACACCGUCCGAGUGGGCGACCUACGGAUUAUUGCAUGAGCCGGGGGGAUUGAAAUGGUACUGGAAUGGGAAGGAGGUGAAUUCCGCCCGCGUGUGGUCGCCAAUGCCGAACGGCAUCUACUUCUCUACGGAAGUGAAUGAGAGUGGAGGGUGGGCGGGGCAAGAUCUCUCAAGUUAUGGCCCGAUUGACAAUCCCGCCGGCUACAUCGAGGUCGACUACUGCGGCUUCUGGCAGCUCAGUGAUUAUUCUUCUUCUUCUUCUACUACCACUACUUCUACUACUUCUACUUCCCCGUUAAGUGUCGCGGUGCCGUCUCGACACUCUGCGACGCCGCGCACUUCCAGCACUUCUGAUCAGUGCACUCCCGAAAUCGUAUCCCCCCCAAUUCCAUUGCGUCCCGAGGAUGCCGAAUUCGCCGCUCCCGAGAAUGGCACGCUCACCGAUGGCUCGCCCCCACUGAGGCCUUCGAAAUCACCACCAGAUUCUCGUUCGCUUAUGGAUGAAUGAGUGAAGUUUAUCAUUCAUUCAACAGUUACAGAAUUAGUGUGGCGUUCUGGAGGAAGUUAAGUUCAUGAGAUUUACACGUUGUGAGAAUUCUAAAUUUUGAGAAUUUUAAUGGUUAAACUAGUCCUUUUGCGUUAGCAAAAAGAUUAAAAUUAAAAUUAAAAAAUGCUUAAUCUCAUGGUGAAACUACUUGAUCAUAUUGUUUGCAACUCCAUUAUUUUAUUUUUUUGUGGAAUAGGAAGUUUGAUGUGUGAAUUUUUUUGUAAUUUCUUGACAAUGUGAUUUGUGGCAAUUAUAUUAGAGCUUGAUUGAUUGUGGUGAUUUUUAAAUUAGUAAGUCUCUAUAGCUGGAAAUGGAGAACUGAAAAUUUUAGUUCCUCAAAAAUUAGUUUGCAAUGUUUAGUUGACUAUAACAAAAUGAUAAAAAUGAGAAAUUUUUGAAUAUUCUAUAAUUUACAUUUAUCAAAUGGAUAAAUAAGUUUUGUAGCGUAUUUGUAAUUUAAUAACAUGGAAAGAUAUUCUUGGAAUUAACAUUAUUAUGUUAAGUUUAUUAAAUACCAAAAAUAGUUGGAUGAAUAUAUGAGAUGAAGUUUUUUACUAAAAGAAUUCAGGAGUUUUUACAAAUAGAUACACUAUUUUGAUAUUAAAAAAUUCCAUUAAUGUAACUAUUCUUGAAGUUACUUUUAAAUGAUAGAGUUUAUAGUUGUAAUUUAGAUUGGACAAACAGCACAGAGAAAAUACUAGUUUAUUGACCAAUCUAAUAGUAGUGAUUUUUUUUGAUUUUAUUAUAGUGUAAUUUAUAUUUUUUAAUGUUUUCAACAACUGAUUGUGAGGUCUAAUUUCGGUAUUCAGAUUUUCUUAGAGUAAAAUUGGAUCUACAUAAUAUACUAGUAAAUAGACUGAUCUAUUGGUUAUUCAAACAAAAAAAACUUUAAAAAACCAUUUUAAACUAUAAUCGAUCAUUAAAAAAAACUUUUAAUUCCAGUAGUUCUAUGUAGAAAUUUGUUUUAAAAAAAACCAUCAAAAAUAUAAAAAUACCUUUAUAUAUCUUUAGAAAUCAUAAAAUAUAAAAUAGUAAUAUUAUACUAAAUUAUCUUGAAUUCUUGAUCUAUAGAAAUAUUUGAUUUUACACCAAUCAUUAAAACAAAAAUAUAAUAAAACACUAUAUAACCAUAACAAUUUGAACACAAUCCACAUCGUUGAAAACUCAAUUAAUUCAGUAUAUAAUUAUAUAUUAUUUUCCCAAAAAAAAAGAUCAAGAAAAAAGAAAAAAAGACAAAAAAAAAUCAUUUUUUUAAACAAUACAAAACAUUUCUCAUCUGAAUGUCAUUUCAGAAUUAAUGUUUUGUAUUGUUUAAAAAAACAACUCCAAGCGAUCAAAAGGACUACUUGAUAGGGAAAAAAAAAAAACAAAAAACAAAAACAAAAACAAAAACAAAAAAAUACUCUCAGAAGAGAUGCGUAAGUACAGAAUCAAGCUGCGGUGUAAGAAAUAACGAAAAUCGAAGCCAUAUUUACAUCAAAUUAUGUGGGAUCUUGGUUCAAUACUAAAUAUAAAAAGUAAACAAGGUGGUUGUAGCUUCUUAAGCUGAAACCAAGUCUCCACGUUAACAACAACCUUCAAAAUCAGGCUUUUACAAAGUGUUCUUUCCUGCAUGGUCAAGUCUAUGGGUGGAUGAUCUCAACUAGCAAUUUGUGCACCUUGUCAGCAACGACGCGGGACAGCACAUCGUUCCAUGCAUUGCGCUGUGAAGACGGAAUCCAAUUCCAACCCAACCGUGGCUCUGCUCGAACCCUGCAACCAUCCAGAAGUUCAUUAAUUAGCAGUGAUUGUCAUCGUAGGAAAAACAAAACAAAAGAAAACAACCAUAUAAACAUAUCUUGUAGCAUGUAGUAUCAUUGGUGAGUGACCCAUAUUACUGGUUUUUGCGAUAUGCGAAUUAGCAUCUGGGAAAAGAGUAAUUCAGUGAAGCCAAGAGAACAUCACCCAAUGAGCAUGAAGUGAACAUUCUCUUCGUGUUUCUUGAUCAGAGCCGUGAAUGCUGAGUUGCUAAGAGUUCCCUUCUCUCCGAUCUCUUCCUUGGUGACUAGAGCCUCCAUUGGACCCACAUCGACCAUGGUCAGCACUGCUUCCUUCUGCUCUUCACUCAUCACACCAGAUGCAUCGAGCUGCCGUUUCACAUAUUCAAUCAGAAGGUUGCGUUCGUCGAAUGGAACCACCGUCUCUGCAAUUACCACUGUUUUAAGCUCCAGCGUGGAAUGCCCAUUGAUCAUCUUCAUUAUAUCUGAGUCGGUUUCCCUGCAAGCAUGCCAAUUUUGAUAUCCUGAAUCACAAAUCUUGUCGAGAUUCUCGGGUCAAUUGUGGAGCUUUUAAAGAAAAAGAAAAAAUCGAAUUCAUAGCUGAUUCGUCCUCAGUUCAGAUGAAAGUUUACGCAAGAGACAUGGUGAUUAAUUCCAGUGACGGAAUGGAACCAUUUACUCAUUUUAAAAGUAGUAUAUUUUCGUUCAUAAAAAGGAAAUACAACAGAGCACUUACAGAAUUUGAACUCUAGAUGGCUGCCCCUUGUCGAGCAGGGCCAGAAAAGGUGAAAUGUGCUCAGUGCCGUUUUUUCCCAUCACAUAACCAGCUUUACUUCGACCGGUUGUAAGGGGUAGCAACAGCAACGUUGCGCACAAAAGACUUGUAAGAAACAUCAUCUUUACAAGAUGCCACACUUCUCUUGCGUAGUCUUGCCACCGGGAGCAACGGGAGCCCUUCAUCGCUUCAUAAGAUACGUGACUCAUCUUCGCUGCUUGACACAUUAUAUGUUUCACUUGCUGCUAAAAUGUUUUUUCGUAAAACAAUUGUUAGUGAAUGUGACAUAACAGAAGCAAAAGGUGAUCGAGUGAGUAGCGAUUGAAAGUAUUUUUUAUAAUACUUUGAAUGAUGAGAUGAGCUUAAUAUAUCUCUUUCAAAUCUCAAAGACGGGUUUAGUAUUGACAAGCCUUCUUCUCAAGGUGAUUGUUUUCCUGUAAGAGACAAGAAUUGGUCCUCUCAUUACUCUUCAAACGAGAUUCAAUUAUUUAAAUCAUCUCGGAUUUAAACGAACUCACAAGAACGAGAGAAGCAGGCAUUUGCACUUCUUUAAGCAAGCACAGCAAUGACCUACAGUUGGAAACUUUGUUGCAUAGCAUUCGUUUUUGUCCAAGUUCUGGACUCAAGCUACACAUCACUCGGAUUGACAUAAGUCCAGUAGAGCUUUGAGGAAUAUCUUCACAAGUGGCUUCAAAGGUGGUCACAAUAUUUGAAGGGUGAACUACAGAGGGAAUUACUAAAGAAUUAAGAUAGGACAAGAAAAGCUUUUUCGACGAUGACUGAUCCAGUAGUCAAAUUAACUCUACCGAAAAACCAGAUCAAUCUCUAAUAAUGACCCUCGUAAGUCGGAUUGUUUAGUCGGCUACAUGAAGAAAUGAAAUGUCUAGUGCAACACAAUUUUCGCACGUGGAAAAACCGUGCAAGAACUGAUUCAGAAUUCUCAGGCGCACCGAAAGCCCUCGCCAUCAUGCAGUUCACACAUUGAAUAAGGAACCACGCACGAAAUCAAGGUGAGGUCCUCGUCGAAACAACAAACGGGACAUCACAAUCGUCACAUUGGCGUAAGAAUUUUCAUGAGAGGGUUAGGCGAACCCGUAAGAUCCAAAGACAGUCCCCCAAUUGAUCAACAACCAUGAGUUUCCCCCUCGCCUGAAAAACUAGGGAGUUAAACUCAGUCAGUCCUCAGAUUACAACCUCCAAUUCCCCAAUUCACCCGCAUUUGGCCUUCUUAUGGCCGAUACACAAAGAAACGCUGCAGAUCUCCACCAGCGAUGGAAAAAAACACACCAAUAAAAUCCUCAUCAAACCUGUCACGUUCAUCACCCAAAAAACAGACGCCACAACCAACGAAUACGCAGCCUUGC
rnacentral:lncRNA from 1 species